rnacentral:lncRNA from 1 species
ACGGCGACAAUUUUUGCACCAUAUCAAACUUAUCUAGACUGAAAAUGACUUGGUUUAUUGGAGACUUAGCUUUUGCCAGUAGUUGAACUAGUCUUUUAGGCUUCCCAUGGAUUGGCUAUUUUAUUUGCAUGGAUUGGUUGUUUUGUUUAAGUUAUCGUCUGCUUGUCACUGAAUUUAUCUUGCUUUCUCGUUCGUGGUUGUUUCUAUCUCUGAGCACUGUUUGGUUUGUGCCUAUGAUGUUGUCUAUCUCGCUAGCAAAGAAGCAACUCUACCCGAGGGUUGCUGCAGUACAAAACGUAUAUGUAGGCCGCUAAAUAUAUUUAGAGGCUGAGGCAACAGGCAAAUUUAGUGAAAAUUCCUUAUGGGUGGGACCAAGUUCUUUAUUGAUUUUGUGUAUACUUAAAAUUGUUCUGGCUAGUAUCUCUCACAAAAUCAAUACGUAGUGGAGGGAAGCCGACUCGCCUCGUCAAUAAAUAAAGACCACGUUUGAGACGCUUUAGAGGAACGGAAACCCUGACUCGCUCGGUUGUCGGUUGUUGCAAUGGCUGGCGGAGGCAGAGGACACGGCGGCGGGUGGAGCUCCCUGCCGGCGGAGCUUAUACAUGAAGUAUCGAACCGUCUGCACGCCGACGUAGACCAAAUCCACAUCCACCAGGUAUGCUACCACUGGCGCGCGUCCACCGCCCCGCUCGCAGCCUGCCGUCCGUGGAUCGUCGCCGCCCACGACCGCCACCGCAACCCUGUCAGCGCCGUUAACCUUGUCUCUAACCACUCCUUGCUGCCCCGCGGUGGAAAAAGGAUGCACUCCCGGGCCCUAGCCCCGGCCGGCCUCCGCCGCUGCUGCUGAUCCUCUGGGAGCCCCUCUCCCAAGCCGAGAUCCCUCUGCCGCCUUUGUCAGCCGUCGCCCAACUAUUCCUCUCCAGCGACCCGAUCACCUCGCCGGCGGGCUGGAUGGCGAUCGCGAGCCAGAAAAUCCCGGGCGCACAGAUCGGGCACAUGCCCUUCUUUUGGCGCCCUUGGAGACGCGGCCUGGACGAUACAACCCGAGCACCCUAUAGGCCGGAUCGACGGCGCAGCCUUCCACCAAGGCAGGCUCUACAUCUCCGACAUGAGCAUGAGACUCAGCAUCUUCGAUCUACAGCAGCAUCCUCCCAAGCGUCUGCGGCUUAUCUCCCUCUACACUCCUCUGCGGACGCGGUAUCCAAGCCGCUUACCCGGCCCCGGGGAUCCUGGUGGCAUGCGACAACCAGCUGUUGCUCGUCAUGGUGUAUCGUGGACAAGGACGCCCCAGCCUCGUGAUCCUUGUAGAGGUGCACCGCCCGGAUUGGGCCGCCGACCGCCUCAACAUCCAGGGGAGAAGGUGACGGAUCUCGGCGACUGCUCGCUCUUCUUGGGCCGGGGUGACGGCCUCGCGCUCUCUGCGAAGGACUUCCCUGCCAUUAGGAGAAAUUGUGUAUAUUUUGUGAAGCACGACACAAGAAAGCAUGAGCAAUGGGUUAUUGUGUUUGAUUUGGAGUCAAACGCUUUGGACCGAAUUCCUCACCCACAAGAGCACAUGGAGGGCGGCAGCAAAAACAGUGGCUGGUUAGGCUAUUCGUGGUUCUGCCCUAGAAGGUCCUUCGUCGAGGCCCUAUGAUGUAUAAUAUUCCCCCCAUUCCAUACUGUAGUCGCCUAUACUUUUCGAGAUUCAACUUUAACAAUAAUACAUAAAUCGUUUUACUGAUUUUUUUAUGGUCAAAGUUAAAUCUUCAAAAGCAUGGACGCACUACAUUAUGAAAUAGAGGGAGUAUCUCAUUCAACUAUUUAAUUAUGGCAGCAACAAGCUUUGUAUGAAUUUAUUUAUUUUGUGGUCAUUAACAUGCUCAGUUGAUCUGGAAGUAAAGAAGGAGGGAUUUUCAUAUUAGAGUGACCUCAUCUAUAAAUCACAAAAUAAGAGGUGUUGUCGACCUGACAAUUAUGAGCUGCCCUACUCCUCCAACGAAUCAUAAAUUGAAGCAUGAACCCUGAUAGAUUCCACGUUUUGUAUGGAAUUGUUAGGCUGAUUCGCUAUAUCUCUCUCACGAGUUCUGAAUGCUAUCUCUCACAAGUUGACUUAAAAUUGUUUAACUGUCUUUGUGUGAACAAUACUGUGUUAACUGAACUUAACUGAAGUGAGUAGCAAAUGUUUGAUUCAGUCCUGGUUUGUUUCAUCUGGAACAAUUCUGGUAGCAUCUAUGAAACAGAUGCAAUCUGAAAUGUAGCAACUGUUUAAAUAAACACCAAGCAGUAAUCUGCAUAUGUUUGGUUCUGUUUAAGGAUUGUUUUUAUUAGUAACUUCAAACUGAAUUUAAUCCUGGAGCCAAAACACUGUGUUUGCUGGAGUAGUUGCCACUGCAUCAAAACCACAUGACAUAUGGUCGUGAGGUUUGGAAUAAACUAUCUCAUCUGGCUACUGUUCUUGUACAUGCUCUGUCCUCUUGCUGCUGUUUUUGUACAUGCUUUCCUUCCAAUAUGUACUGAGAGAAUAUAUUGUGACAUUCUUCAGUAUUCAGGCUUCUGAUAUCAGAAAUGGAACCCUUUCCUUCCAAUCAGUUGAGCCUCAGCGAUGUUUGUCAUUCAGUUCUGAUGGUACUAGUAAGUUUGCUAUUGGUGGUGAGGUAUCAGGCCAUUCCACCUUGCUUUUUCUUUUUCUUCAUGCACUUUUUUCUGUAGGGUAAGUUAAUGUAAAUUCAAGGAUAAUUUAUGAAAUGUUAUAAUCUGCCGAACUUUUAAUUUGGAGUACACAGGAUUUGGAUACUGUCAACAAUAUAGAGCAUGAAAUGUUCACUUUUUUUGCUCUCUAAAUUGUGUGUCAUUAUUUUGUUUGCACCUGUUCUUAUAUGGGUGAAACUUCACUUGUUCUUAUAUGGAUGAAACUUCAAUUCUAUAGGAGAGUAGUAAACAUUUGGUAUAUCUACAUAAUCUGUUGGAUGCCAAAUGGAUUUCUGCCCAUUAAUUCAUACUCCUAUUUCUGCCCAUGGAUUUAUUGUCAUUCUCUGUCAGGUCAUCUAAGGCCUUGAUAGACCAAAUUUUGAGAUUCAAAUAAAUUCAAAGGCCUUGACUAAAUUAUUCAGAUUAAUGCAAAUAAAUUCAAACAAUUUCAAUAAAUUAAAAUAAUUCCAAAUAAAUUCAAAUAAUCCAAAUAAUUCCAAAUAAAUUCAAACCUGAACAUUUUCAGUUAGUGGCUCAAAACUGUUCCACUAGAGGAGUAGACAUUUAACUUAAUCAAUCUACCAUCUAAACAAAUACUCCUAUUAAUUCCACUAGAGGACUAGACAUUUAACAUAAGGUAGUCUCAUUUUAAUUUAACUGUUUCUAUUUUAGUUGCAAUAGCCCAUUAGAGUAACUUUUCAUUUCUGAAACUUUCAGCCUCAAAUUGCAGAUCUCCUGGUGCAUCCCUUGAACAACAAAACAUGCAAAAGGCUGGGAGGUCUGAACUCUAGCCUAUCCUUUUUGUGACAUUUUGGUGACUACGCAAAACGUAGUAAUCAACUCUUAUUGCUUUUUGUAGAGGGCCAUCUUGAAGCAUCUAUGCAAUUCAGCUGGAGGACCAUAGAUGAUGAUCAGGUGAGAGUCCAUAAUCUAUGCCCUAAUAAUUUCGAUUGCCAAAAUCUUUGUCUGAUUGAAUGUUUCCAAAAUUAACACGAUUGAAUGUUUCCAAAAUUAACAAAACCUUGCCAUUUCUUGAUUGAAUGUUUCCAUAAUUAACAUGAUUGCAUGUUUUCAAAAUUAACAAAAUCUUGCCAUAUCCUGAUUGAAUGUUUCCAAAUUAACAUUUCCAAUUUUGCAGGAGUACGUACCUAGCAGCAGCAGCAAAGGCGGGACAAAGGAGGCCGGCCAGAGGCGAGGCGAGUUCGUGUGGUCAAAGUAGAAAGACCAGCUGCAGGUGGUCGAAGCAGCAAUAGUAGGUGUCGACGGCGGGGGCAGCAGCAGUAGUAGGCGUCGGCGGCGAGGAAGGAGCUGGCGGGGAAGGACUACCUCAUCAACAGAGCCGGCGGGGAAGGACUACCUCAUCAGCAGAGCCGGCGGGGAAGGAGAGACUGGGCCGGCGAUUGGAGUCUCCCAGCAGCAAAGACGGAGCACGGGGAAGGAUCGCGGCGGAAUCAUGGAGGUUGGCGGCAGUGCAGGUGCAGGUGGGUGACGUCGCAGUGGCUGGUCGCGCACCGGACACCACAUCUCCAACGUCACUCUGAUACGUCUCCUUCGUAUCUACUUUUCCUAAUGCUUUUCCUCUUGUUUCGGACUCUAAUUUGCAUGAUUUGAAUGAAACUAACCCGGACUGACGCUGUUUUCAACAGAACUACCUUGGCGUUGUUUUUUGUGCAGAAAUAAAAGUUCUCGGAAUGGAACAAAACUUUUUGGAUAACUGUUUCAGAAUAUGUAAAAAAUACUGGCACGAAGAACCACCGGAGGGGGGCCCUGGCUGGGCACAAGACACCAGGGCGUGCCCCCCUCUGGCGCGCCCUGGUGGGUUGUGCCCACCUGGUGGUUUCACAUACCCUAAUUCCGACGCAAUAAAACCUAUUUUCGGAGAAAAAAAAUCAGUGAGGACGUUUCAUCGCGUUUCACGAUACGGAGCCGCCGCCACCUCCUGUUCUUCAUCGGGAGGCCAGAUCUGGAGUCCGUUCAGGGCUCCGGAGAGGGGGAUCUUUGACCUUCGUCAUCACCAACCCUCCUUCAUCGCCAAUUCCAUGAUACUCCCCAUCGGAAGUGAGUAACUCCUUCAUAGGAUCACUGGUCAGUGAGGAGUUGGAUGAGAUUCAUCAUGUAAUCGAGUUAGUUUUGUUAGGGCUUGAUCCCCAGUAUCCAUUAUGUUCUGAGAUUGAUGUUGUUACAAUUUUGCCAUGCUUAAUGCUUGUCACUUUGAGUCCGGGUGCCUUGAUUUCAGAUCUGAACCAUUUAUGUUUUCAUCAUUAUAUCUAUGUUCUAGAUCCGAUCUUGCAAGUCAUAUUCACCUAUUACGUCUUAUGAUCCGUAAACCCCAAUGUGACAGUAAUUGGGAUACUUUCCGGUGAUGACCGUAGUUUGAGGAGUUCAUGUAUUUACUAUGUGUUAAUACUUUGUUUCGGUUCUCUAUUGUAAGGAGGCCUUAAUAUCCCUUAGUUUCCUUAUGGACCCCGCUGUCACGGGAGGGUAGGACAAAAGAUGUCAUACAAGUUCUUUCCAUAAGCACGUAUGACUAUUUACGGAAUACAUGCCUACAUUAUAUUUAUGAACUGGAGCUAGAGCCGUAUCGCCCUAGGUUAUGACUUUUAUAUGAUGAAUAUCAUCCAACGAAUCCACCGAUCCAAUGCCUAUGAAUUUUCCACAUAUUGUUCUUGCUAAGUUACUACUGUUGCUAUUACUGUUACACUUGCUACAAAAUCAUUGCUAUCACUGUUUUGCUGCAGAUAUUUAAUCUCCAGGCGUGGUUGAAUUGACAACUCAACUGCUAAUACUUACAAAUAUUCUUUGGCUCCCCUUGUGUCAUAAAUUUGGGAUGAAUACUCUACCCUCGAAAACUGUUGCAAUCCACUAUACUUGUGGGCUAUCAAGACCUUUUUCUGGCGCCGUUGCCGGGGAUCAUAGCUAUAUUUGUUGAGUCACUUGGGAUUAUCAUCUAUUUAUCACUAUGAAGAAUCUGAAGGAUACCAAGACUAAUAUUUUUUCCUCUAAGACGAGGGAGGUAAGGAACUGCCAUCUAGCUCUGCACUUGAUUCACCUUCUAUUUUGAGUAAACUUGCAACACGACCACAUGCUAUUAAUGCUGAUAUGUCGCAAGUUAUUGAUGAUUCUACUUCUGCUAUUAAUGAUACUCAUGAUGAUGCUAGUACCAUUCUUGAUGAUAAUGUGCCGCUAGGUGAAUUUAUUGAUGAACAACUUGCUAGAGCCAAAGAUAUUGAGAAUGCUGAAACUGAUGAAGUACUUGAAAUUGAAAAUCUUGAAACACCGAUUAGACCUAGCUCUCCUAGAUAUGAAAUGCCUAAGGUACCCGAAGGUUAUGUUAUGGAUGAGGAAAUAGCUAGAGACUUUCUUACUUGCAAUGAUAGAGAUGAUCUUAAAAAAUUAUUAUGCAAACUGAAAGAAAAAUUUUUGAAUGCUAGAAUGAAAUGUGAUCCUAAGUUUGCUACUUCACCUAUCUUUGUUAUUGAUAAGGAUUACGAAUUCUCUGUCGACCCAGAGUUAAUUACUUUGGUUGAAUCUAAUCCUUUCCAUGGUUAUGAAACUGAACUAUUGUGGCACACCUUACUAAGUUAAAUGAUAUAGCCACCCUAUUUGCUCAUGAUGAGAAAAUUCGCUACUAUUAUAUCCUCAAAUUAUCUCCGUUCUCAUUAAAGGGUGAUGCUAAGAUAUGGUACAAUACUCUUGCUCCUGGUUGUGUGCGUAUUCCCCAGGAUAUGAUUUACUAUUUCUCUGAAAAAUAUUUUCCUGCUCAUAAGAAACAAGGUGCCUUAUAGGAAGUAUUUAACUUUGUGCAAAUUGAAGAAGAUAGUCUCCCACAAGCUUGGGGGAGGCUUCUCCAAUUGCUUAAUGCUUUGCCUGAUCAUCCUCUUAAAAAAUGAAAUACUUGAUACCUUCUAUAAUGGACUAACCGAUGCUUCUAGGGAUUUCCUAGAUAGUUGUGCUGGUUGUGUUUUUAGGGAACGAAGUAUUGAACAAGCUGAGGAAUUACGGAAUAACAUAUUGAAAAAUUAUGAUGAUUGGACUCUUCCUGAACCACCGCCUAAACCCACUCUGAAGAAGAGGGGUAUCUUAUAUCUCAGUCCUGAAGAUAUGCAAGAGGCAAAGAAAGGUAUGAAGGAAAAAGGUAUUAAAGCAGAGGAUGUUAAAAAUUUACCGCCUAUUGAAGAAAUACAUGGACUUGAUACGCCACCACCAAAGGUGGUAGAGGUAAACUCUUUAACGAAAUUUGAUGAAAGUGACAUCCCUUACAAUAUGCAUCCUAGUCAAUGCCUUUAUGAGUUCGAUAACUAUAUUAGAAAAUAAGAUCACUUCAAUGAGAAUGUUAUGAAACAAUUAAAAUACAACUCUCAUAUGAUUGCUCACUUGAGUAACAUAUUAUUUAGAAUCACUAAUGAUGCUAGAGGUGUAAGAAAACAUGCCUCUAUGGUUCAAGCCCAGCUAGAACAAGUUGCUAAAUCCCAAAGAGAAUUGCUUGAUGAAAUGAAUAAUAAUAUGAAUGACCAUGCUAUUAGAGUAGUAACUAGAGGAGGUAGAAUGACUCAGGAACCACUCUAUCCUGAGGGACGCCCUAAAAUAAUUGAACAAGACUCUCAAUUAAUUAAUACGGAUGCACCUAGUCCUUCUAAAAGGAAAAGGAAAAAGAAAAAUGAUAGGACUUUGCAUACCUCUGUUGGGGAACGUAGUAAUUUCAAAAAAUUUCCUACGCACACGCAAGAUCAUGGUGAUGCAUAGCGACGAGAGGGGAGAGUGUUGUCCACGUACCCUCGUAGACCGAAAGCGGAAGCGUUAGCACAACGCGGUUGAUGUAGUCGUACGUCUUCACGAUCCGAUCGAUCAAGUACCGAACGCACGGCACCUCCGAGUUCAGCACACGUUUAGCUCGAUGACCUCCCUCGAACUCCGAUCCAGCCGAGCUUUGAGCGUCAGCACGACGGCAUGGUGAUGAUGAUGAUGUUCUACCGACGCAGGGCUUCGCCUAAGCACCACUACGAUAUUAUCGAGGUGGAUUAUGGUGGAGGGGGGCACCGCACACGGCUAAGAGAUCAAUGAUCAAUUGUUGUGUGUUUGGGGUGCCCCCUGCCCCCGUAUAUAAAGGAGAAAGGGGAGGAGGCGGCCAGCCAGGGAGAGGUGCGCCAAGGGGGAGUCCUACUCCCACUAGGAGUAGGACUCCUAUUCCUAGUAGGAGUAGGAGAGGGGGAAGGAAAGGGAGAGGAGGAGAAGGAAAGAGGGGGCCGCCCCCCCUUGCCCGAAACCAAUUCGGUUUGGGCCUUGGGGGGGGGGGCGUCCCACACUCCCCUUGCUGCCCUCUAUUUCCACUACGGCCCAUGUAGGCCCAUUAAGCCCCCGGGGGGUUCCGGUAAUCCCCGGUACUCCGGUAAAAUCCCGAUUUCACCCGGAACACUUCCGAUAUCCAAAUAUAGGCUUCUAAUAUAUCAAUCUUUAUGUCUCGACCAUUUCGAGACUCCUCCUCAUGUCCGUGAUCACAUCCGGGACUCCGAACAACCUUCGGUACAUCAAAACUCAUAAACUCAUAACAUAACCGUCUCGAAACUUUAAGCGUGCAGACCCUACGGGUUUGAGAACUAUGUAGACAUGACCGAGACACGUCUCCGGUCAAUAACAAAUAGCGGAACCUGGAUGCUCAUAUUGGCUCCCACAUAUUCUACGAAGAUCUUUAUCGGUCAGACCGCAUAACAACAUACGUUGUUCCCUUUGUCAUCGGUAUGUUACUUGCCCGAGAUUCGAUCGUCGGUAUCUCAAUACCUAGUUCAAUCUCGUUACCGGCAAGUCUCUUUACUCGUUCCUUAAUACAUCAUCCCGCAACUAACUCAUUAGUCACAAUGCUUGCAAGGCUUAUAGUGAUGUGUAUUACUGAGUGGGCCCAGAGAUACCUCUCCGACAAUCGGAGUGACAAAUCCUAAUCUCGAAAUACGCCAACCCAACAAAUACCUUUGGAGACACCCGUAGAGCACCUUUAUAAUCACCCAGUUACGUUGUGACAUUUGGUAGCACACAAAGUGUUCCUCCGGUAAACAGGAGUUGCAUAAUCUCAUAGUCAUAGGAACAUGUAUAAGUCAUGAAGAAAGCAAUAGCAACAUACUAAAUGAUCGAGUGCUAAGCUAACGGAAUGGGUCAAGUCAAUCACAUCAUUCUCCUAAUGAUGUGGUCCCGUUAAUCAAAUGACAACUCAUGUCAAUGGCUAGGAAACAUAACCAUCUUUGAUUAACGAGCUAGUCAAGUAGAGGCAUACUAGUGACACUCUGUUUGUCUAUGUAUUCACACAAGUAUUAUGUUUUCGGUUAAUACAAUUCUAGCAUGAAUAAUAAACAUUUAUCAUGAUAUAAGGAAAUAAAUAAUAACUUUAUUAUUGCCUCUAGGGCAUAUUUCCUUCAGUCUCCCACUUGCACUAGAGUCAAUAAUCUAGAUUACACAGUAAUGAUUCUAACACCAAUGGAGCCUUGGUGCUGAUCAUGUUUUGCUCGUGGAAGAGGCUUAGUCAACGGGUCUGCAACAUUCAGAUCUGUAUGUAUCUUGCAAAUUUCUAUGUCUCCCACCUGGACUAGAUCCCGGAUGGAGUUGAAGCGUCUCUUGAUGUGCUUGGUUCUCUUGUGAAAUCUGGAUUACUUUGCCAAGGCAAUUGCACCAGUAUUGUCACAAAAGAUUUUCAUUGGACCCGAUGCACUAGGUAUGACACCUAGAUCGGAUAUGAACUCCUUCAUCCAGACUCCUUCAUUUGCUGCUUCCGAAGCAGCUAUGUACUCCGCUUCACACGUAGAUCCCACCACAAUGCUUUGUUUAGAACUGCACCAACUGACAGCUCCACCGUUCAAUGUAAACACGUAUCCGGUUUGCAAUUUAGAAUCGUCCGGAUCAGUGUCAAAGCUUGCAUCGACGUAACCAUUUACGACUAGCUCUUUGUCACCUCCAUAAACGAGAAACAUAUCCUUAGUCCUUUUCAGGUAUUUCAGGAUGUUCUUGACCGCUGUCCAGUGAUCCACUCCUGGAUUACUUUGGUACCUCCCUGCUAAACUUAUAGCAAGGCACACAUCAGGUCUGGUACACAGCAUUGCAUACAUGAUAGAGCCUAUGGCUGAAGCAUAGGGAACAUCUUUCAUUUUCUCUCUAUCUUCUGCAUUGGUCGGGCAUUGAGUCUUACUCAACUUCACACCUUGUAACACAGGCAAGAACCCUUUCUUUGCUUGAUCCAUUUUGAACUUCUUCAAAACUUUGUCAAGGUAUGUGCUUUGUGAAAGUCCAAUUAAGCGUCUUGAUCUAUCUCUAUAGAUCUUGAUGCCCAAUAUAUAAGCAGCUUCACCGAGGUCUUUCAUUGAAAAACUCUUAUUCAAGUAUCCCUUUAUGCUAUCCAGAAAUUCUAUAUCAUUUCCAAUCAGCAAUAUGUCAUCCACAUAUAAUAUCAGAAAUGCUACAGAGCUCCCACUCACUUUCUUGUAAAUACAGGCUUCUCCAAAAGUCUGUAUAAAACCAAAUGCUUUGAUCACACUAUCAAAACGUUUAUUCCAACUCCGAGAGGCUUGCACCAGUCCAUAAAUGGAUCGCUGGAGCUUGCACACUUUGUUAGCUCCCUUUGGAUCGACAAAACCUUCCGGUUGCAUCAUAUACAACUCUUCUUCCAGAAAUCCAUUUAGGAAUGCAGUUUUGACAUCCAUUUGCCAAAUUUCAUAAUCAUAAAAUGCGGCAAUUGCUAACAUGAUUCGGACAGACUUAAGCAUCGCUACGGGUGAGAAAGUCUCAUCGUAGUCAAUCCCUUGAACUUGUCGAAAACCUUUCGCAACGAGCUUUACAGACAGUAACAUUACCGUCAGCGUCAGUCUUCUUCUUGAAGAUCCAUUUAUUCUCAAUGGCUUGCCGAUCAUCGGGCAAGUCAACCAAAGUCCACACUUUGUUCUCAUACAUGGAUCCCAUCUCAGAUUUCAUGGCCUCAAGCCAUUUUGCAGAAUCUGGGCUCACCAUCGCUUCUUCAUAGUUCGUAGGUUCGUCAUGGUCUAGUAACAUAACCUCCAGAACAGGAUUACCGUACCACUCUGGUGCGGAUCUUACUCUGGUUGACCUACGAGGUUCAGUAACAACUUGAUCUGAAGUUUCAUGAUCAUCAUCAUUAACUUCCUCACUAAUUGGUGUAGGUGUCACAGGAACCGGUUUCUGCGAUGAACUACUUUCCAAUAAGGGAGCAGGUACAGUUACCUCAUCAAGUUCUACUUUCCUCCCACUCACUUCUUUCAAGAGAAACUCCUUCUCUAGAAAGGAUCCAAAUUUAGCAACAAAAGUCUUGCCUUCAGAUCUGUGAUAGAAGGUGUACCCAACAGUUUCCUUUGGGUAUCCUAUGGAGACACAUUUCUCCGAUUUGGGUUCGAGCUUAUCAGGUUGAAGCUUUUUCACAUAAGCAUCGUAGCCCCAAACUUUAAGAAACGACAACUUUGGUUUCUUGCCAAACCACAGUUCAUAAGGCGUCAUCUCAACGGAUUUCGAUGGUGCCCUAUUUAACGUGAAUGCAGUCGUCUCUAAAGCAUAACCCCAAAACGAUAGCGGUAAAUCAGUAAGAGACAUCAUAGAUCGCACCAUAUCUAGUAAAGUACGAUUACGACGUUCGGACACACCAUUACGCUGUGGUGUUCCGGGUGGCGUGAGUUGCGAAACUAUUCUGCAUUGUUUCAAAUGAAGACCAAACUCGUAACUCAAAUAUUCUCCUCCACGAUCAGAUCGUAGAAACUUUAUUUUCUUGUUACGAUGAUUUUCAACUUCACUCUGAAAUUCCUUGAACUUUUCAAAUGUUUCAUACUUAUGUUUCAUUAAGUAGAUAUACCCAUAUCUUCUCAAAUCAUCUGUGAAGGUGAGAAAAUAACGAUACCCGCCGCGAGCCUCAACAUUCAUCGGACCACAUACAUCUGUAUGUAUGAUUUCCAACAAAUCUUUUCCUCACUCCAUAGUUCCGGAGAACGGCAUUUUAGUCAUCUUGCCCAUGAGGCACGGUUCGCAAGUACCAAGUGAUUCAUAAUCAAGUGGUUCCAAAAGUCCAUCAGUAUGGAGUUUCUUCAUGCGCUUUACACCAAUAUGACCUAAACGGCAGUGCCACAAAUAAGUUGCACUAUCAUUAUCAACUCUGCAUCUUUUGGUUUCAAUAUUAUGAAUAGGGACAAUUCCAUUUCUCCCCCUAACUUGAGCCACCACCUGGGAUUUCCCCUAGUUUUCAGGUAUGCUAAAAAAUACCCCUCUUCCAUCUGUGGCCCUUACAGAAAUCCCCCUCCGGGCCGUUUCCGUCGGGUCAAUGGUCUUUGACCGGUAACUGGGCGUCUGUUGGACAUUUUGCCCCUGGUUCUUACAUGUGGGCCCGUAUCAAAACGUUAUCCACUCGCUCACUCUGUUUCUUCUACCUCGCGACCACACACAGACUGGAGCAAGGUGAUUCACCGGCGGCACACGAACGGCAUCGUUCUGGAGAUCGGGCAGUGAGGCCGCGUGGAUGUGCACCUCACGCAUGUUGUCCGCAAGCUCUUCUGUCGCCGUGGAGGUAAGUUAUUCUUCUCUGAUUUGUGUGCGCCCGCGGAUUUCUCAUUAGGGUUUGAGCUAAAAUUGAGGAUUUUCUCUCUCGUAGGUCGAUGGGGUCGGCAUAGUGCAGUUCUCCUCCGAGUUCUGCAUGCCGGAUCCGAGUUAUUGCGGCCUUGAGAAGCUUUCCAAGCAUUGGUGCCCGGGGCACGGGCUCGUUCCCGCUCGCCGUGUCGCCUGGGGAGGAGCAAGCACGGGGAGACGUUUUCUUGGAUGCCCACUUGAUGUAAUUUGGUGGAUUGUAUCUGCUUUGCAACAAAUUGGUGCCAAGAUCGCAUUUUGACGAUAUUUUUUAUGUUGCAGCUUCCUGAUGAAUGUGAAUGGGCUGUGUGGGUUGACCCUCCUCCUCCAGAUCUUGUAGGGCGUGCAUUUGAGACACUACAUGAUGGACUAGAAGCAAGUUGGCUCAAAGCUCAUCGUUUAGAGAACAGGGUGACACAUCUCAGAGAGAAAAAGAAGAAGUUAAAGUUACAGUUGCAGAAGAAGCAUGAUCAGAUUGAAACAUGGGCAUUUUUGAUGAUAAUUGUUGGCAUAUGCAUUCUAUCAUAUUUGUUUGGUUCAAAGAAUGCCUAUUAGUCAGUGAGAACAAGCUAGUUUGGCACUGAGUAGAAAUUAGCUUGAUGUUGUGAACUUUUUCAUGAUGUGCGUAGUUCCUGGUUGUGUAACUUUGAUGCUAUGCAUCUUUUCGAAAGACAAAGCAAUUGAAAAGCAUCAGUUGGAUCUUGUGAUCUCUCUCUGUCUUAUUGUUUUUGUUUGUACCUCUCCAAUCCAUGUUACUCAUCGAUCAAAUGGUCCCAACGAAACAUGAUCGACAUCCAUUUGAGCGACAAGUAAUACGUGCCGGAGGAAGUGGUUGACAACAUCAAUGAUCAAUGAUACUGCAUCAUUGUGGUCACUCAAGAUACCAACAAUGUAUAAUAGGAUCAACAUCAAUGAUGAACAACAUCAAGUUAUGACCAGGAUCAAUUCCAAAUAAUACCAACAAAAUGCCAACAUCGACAACAAGGUAUGACAACAGUAACAUGAGACAACAUGAUCCAUUACAUAGAUUCACACAGCAACAUGAGACAACAUGAUCCAUUACAUAGGUUCACACAACAUGAGACAACAUGAUCCAUUACAUAGUUCACACAGCAACAUCAACUAAAUAGUUCAAACAAACAGAUGGUUCAAAGCUUCACAGCAAGUUUCCCCUCUUGCUCCUAGUGUUGCAUGCAGGAUUAGAAGAGAGCCUGGACUUGCUCCUAGUGCUCCUAGCAUCAGCUGGCACCUUCUUAGGAGAGGCAGACCUGCUAAGCUGGUUGCUUCCAGUUACAGAACCACCAGUCGUGAGCGUAUCGCCUUUCGACUUCUUCUUUGGUGAAAGAGGGUUGUCACCUCUAUCUGCUGGCCUUUUGUAAUUUUUCCUUGGGCUGAAAAGUAACAACACAAGCUUUUAUUAGUUAAUAAUGAAGUAAUUUGUUAGAUAAAUCAAUUAGUUGUAGUUAUAAUAGCAGGUUACCUCAUAGUAGUUCCUGCAGCACUUGCUACAGUUGGUGCAUCAGUUACAGGAACUGGUGCAUCAGUUACAGGAACUGGUGCAUCAUCUUCAAGAUCUGCUUGUGCUUCUGUUUCUUCUACUGCAUCAUCCUCAUUUGUUGCUGCAGGUUCAUCUGUAUCAAAUAGUACAUCAUUGUGUUCAGGUGCAUUGUCAGCACCCCAGUGCUCAUCCUCUUCUCCAAAAGUUGGGUCAAUUAACUCUUUGCACUUGUUGCCAUGGUGACCAAGUCUGCCACAUCUAGGGCAUUUCUUUCUCCUGCCCCCAAGUCCUUUUCCUUCUGACUUUUCCCUAAUCCUGGUCUUUCUAGGUCUACCAGGGGGCCUGUUUUGAACUGGAGCACACAGUUUGAACCCAGGAUCAACUACAUCCCAUUGUUGUUUCCCCUCCAUUGCAGGCAAGUUUUCAACAUAUGUUGCAUUGAACAUUUGUACUGAGUAAUAUGGGUGCACAUACUGGUCAAUCUCACUGGCUGGACCUCUCAUUGAUGUAAUGAAGUAUAGUGCAUGUAUGCAAGGUUGUCCUGUAAUUUGCCACUUUCUGCAGCUACAAGUGUUAGCUUUCAAGUCUACAGGAUAUCUCCGCUCCCUCUUUUCUCUGUCAACUGUAGUGACCUCUGCCUCAUGUGUACUUCUUUUCACUACAGUCAUGUCCAACCCCUUUGAUUUUGCAAGCAACAUUUUCAUAACUUUUGGAAUUAUUACAUGACCAACAUAUGUUGCUGCAGCAAUGCUUUGCCUAAUGUCAAAUUUCUCCAUUAUGUAUUGUCUUAUUCUGUCAAGCAGAUCAACAAUGUGUAGCCCUUUCCACUUUCUAAUCUUUGAAUUAAAAGACUCUGCAAGAUUAUUGUUAACAUAAUCUAGCUUGCAAGUUUCAUUGAAAAGAGCCCUUGCCCAUAACUUAGUGUGGUGCUCCUCUAUGUACUAUUGCACACCUUGCUUGCUGUACAACUGAGUGAGAUGGUACUUGUGCUUUUUCAAGCUGUAGGUCAAAGAACAGGGCCACAAGUUCUCAUCAAAGAAUUUUCCUCUAAACUUUUUACUAAAAUUAGCUGCAAGAUGCCUCAUGCAUUCCCUGUGCUCUACACCUGGGAACACAUCUUCUACAACUGACUCAAGUCCCUUGCAGGCAUCAGUGUGAAUAACCAAUCCUUCUGGAUGGCCUAUUAGGUCUUUCAAGUUCUGGAAAAACCAAGUCCAACUCUCAAUGUUCUCUGUCUCUAGCACUCCAUAUGCAACUGGAAAGAUCCAGUUACAUGCAUCUACAGCACAAGCACUAACAAGCUGUCCUCUAUACCUUCCAUUUAAUGCUGUUGCAUCUACUGCUAGAUAUGGUCUACAGCCAACUAGAAAACCUUGCCAAGAGGCCUUAAAUGAUACAAAAACUCUCCUAAAGCACUCUUUGUACCUUUUCUGUCCAUUGAGUUUAAACUCUACAGUGUGUCUAUCAAUAUUAACCACACUACCAGAGAUGCCUUUUCUACUUCAGCUUUGAAAGUAUACAAGAGUUGGAAUGAAUCAGUCCAUUUACCAUAGAUGUUAUCCAGUGCCAUUUGCUUACCAUAAAAAACUCUCAUGUAAGGGAGCUGCACCCCAUACUUCUUUUUCAAGUCUGUCUGCAGAGUUGGCACUGAAAUAUUUGAGUUCUCCCUCACCCAGUUCUUCACAGCAUCUGCCACCCACCUACUCUUUGCAGACCUGAGCCUUUGCCUCCUUGUAACACUUGGGCAUAUGUGAGCUGUCUUGUUCACUUUAACCUGCAACAAGUAAUAGUCAGCAACAGUCCAUACAAUUAUGAAUGCAUAGUUAUUACUAAGGAAAGUUAUUAUUUACACUAACUACAUUAGUCCUACAGUGUAUUACCUGAAAAAGUGUGCUAUUUCUCAUUCUGGAGGCAUGCAUCCUCCACUUACACCUUUUGUAAGCACAGUGAACAAUUAGUCUACUGGGCUCACUCUUGUCAAUUAUAAAUUCACUCUGGGUCUUGAUUGAAAAGGUGGCAAGUGCAUUCCUACAAUCUAUGACAUCUGAAAAUAUAGUUCCUUCUGCUAAAGAAGGAUCAUCUCUGUUAUACUGCACAUCAGGCCUACCCUCAUCCUCUGUCUCAGAAUAUCCCAUGUCCCCGUCCUCCUCUCUUUCAUCAGAGUCUGUCUCCUCAAAUUGUGAGGGUGGAAUGUAAUCUUCACCAUCAUCCUCAUUAGGUGGUUUCCUAACAACAAACUCUGGGUGCAUUCUUUCAUCCUCAUCGUCUGUGGGCACUUCAUCAGGAAAUUCCUCUUCUAUGAUUGGGUCUGUUGUUGCUUUGCUAUACUCAGGACACGGUUGACUAGGCAAGUUGGCACUUGGGGUUCCUGGUUGCUGUACUGUGCUGUGAGUUCCGUUUCCUCUUCUAGCCUGACUGCUAUCAGGCUCUGAAGUUGUAGCUGCUGAUUUCCUUCCUCUAGAUUCACACCUUUGAGACUGUGAACUAGUAGCUGCUGCUUUCCUUCUACUAGUUUGAUUGCUUCUAGGCUGUGAAGGAUUGGGUGCAGAUCUUGCUACUCUGCUCUCUGUUUCCCCUCUUUUCCUUUGUAUGACAUUAAUUUCCAGCUGCACUGAAUUGCUCUCAGCAUUUGUGGCAAACAUAACCCCUAACUCAUCAUCAUUUUGAAUUGGCACCCAUACAGUAUUCUGCAUGUCCCAAUAUCUAAAUUCUACAACAUCAAAAAUACCCCAUGGCUAUUUAUCACUUAUAACACCUCUAAAUUGGACAAAUGUUGAUGUUUUGUCCACCACUAAAGGAAAUGUGAAGCCUGUACCGGCUCCUUUUGUGCCACCAUUGCCUAUGAUAGUGGUCUCCAUUCUACAGUUGAGACGAAAAUCUCUCUCUGGUUUCAUCCUACGAUAAAAGCAUGUAGUAACCACUAAGAGCGCAUUCAAUCGGGGUAAAUCUAUGUACAGUAACAGAACACAGAUCCAGGUCAAGAUUCAAAGAAACUUGGGAGAAGAAACUUACCCUGCUGGAUUUUGCAUUCCCGUCGUCUGCGUCGUCUGCCUGGAUGCUUCUUUGGCACCACCACAAUCACCGGCAGCCGCCAUCGUCGACACCGCCUCCUUUAGCGCUGUAGCAGAGGGAAAUAGACGGUGGAUAAUCACCUCCACUCCCACCGCAUCCCGACGACCGCAGUCCUACAGAUCCGCCGCAGCUACUGGACCGCCGGUGAGGGAUUUAGGGUGACCUAGGUUUAGGGUUUCGGUCGCCAAGAGGGGAACGAGAGAAGAGGUGCUUCGCGAGGUAGAAGAGAGAGUGAGCGAGUGGAUAACGUUUUGAUACGGGCCCACUGAAGGAAAUAUGCCCUAGAGGCAAUAAUAAAGUAUUAUAUAUUUCCUUAUAUCAUGAUAAAUGUUUAUUAUUCAUCCUAGAAUUGUAUUAACCGGAAACAUAAUACAUGUGUGAAUACAUAGACAAACAGAGUGUCACUAGUAUGCCUCUACUUGACUAGCUCGUUAAUCAAAGAUGGUUAUGUUUCCUAGCCAUAGACAUGAGUUGUCAUUUGAUUAACGGGAUCACCUCAUUAGGAGAAUGACGUGAUUGACUUGACCGAUUCCGUUAGCUUAGCACCCGAUCGUUUAGUAUGUUGCUAUUGCUUUCUUCAUGACUUAUACAUGUUCCUAUGACUAUGAGAUUAUGCAACUCCCGUUUACCGGAGGAACACUUUGUGUGCUACCAAACGUCACAACGUAAAUGGGUGAUUAUAAAGGUGCUCUACAGGUGUCUCCAAAGGUACUUGUUGGGUUGGCGUAUUUCGAGAUUAGGAUUUGUCACUCCGAUUGUCGGAGAGGUAUCUCUGGGCCCACUCGGUAAUGCACAUCACUAUAAGCCUUGCAAGCAUUGUGACUAAUGAGUUAGUUGCGGGAUGAUGUAUUACGGAACGAGUAAAGAGACUUGCUGGUAACGAGAUUGAACUAGGUAUCGAGAUACCGACGAUCAAAUCUCGGGCAAGUAACAUACCGGUGACAAAGGGAACAACGUAUGUUGUUAUGCGGUCUGACCGAUAAAGAUCUUCGUAGAAUAUGUGGGAGCCAAUAUGGGCAUCCAGGUCCCGCUAUUGGUUAUUGACCGGAGACGUGUCUCAGUCAUGUCUACAUAGUUCUCGAACCCGUAGGGUCCGCACGCUUAAAAUUACGAUGACAGUUUUAUUAUGAGUUUAUGUAUGUUGAUGUACCGAAGGAGUUCGGAGUCCCGGAUGAGAUCGGGGACAUGACGAGGAGUCUCGAAAUGGUCGAGACGUAAAGAUCGAUAUAUUGGACGACUAUAUUCGGACUUCGAAAAGGUUCCGAGUGAUUCGGGUAUUUUUCGGAGUACCGGAGAGUUACGGGAAUACGUAUUGGGCCUUAUUGGGCCAUACGGGAAAGAAGGAAAAGGGCCUCAAGGGUGGCCGCACCCCUCCCCUUGGUCUGGUCCGAAUUGGACUAGGGAAGGGGGGUGCCCCUUCCUUCCUUCUCUUUUUCCCUUCCUCUUUUCCUAUUCCAUAUGGGAGGUGGAAUCCUACUAGGACUAGGGAGUCCUAGUAGGACUCCACACUUGGUGCGCCCCCUCCUAGGGCCGGCCUCCUCCUCCCUUGCUCCUUUAUAUACGGGGGCAGGGGGGCACCCCAGAGACAACAAUUGAUCCUUGAGAUCUCUUAGCCAUGUGCGGUGCCCCCCUCCACCAUAUUACACCUCGAUAAUACCGUUGCAGAGCUUAAGCGAAGCCCUGCGUCGGUGGAACAUCAUCAUCGUCACCACGCCGUCGUGCUGACGAAACUCUCCCUCAACACUCGGCUGGAUCGGAGUUCGAGGGACGUCAUCGAGCUGAACGUGUGUAGAACUCGGAGGUGCCGUGCGUUCGGUACUUGAUCGGUCGGAUCGUGAAGACGUAUGACUACAUCAACCGCGUUGUGAUAACGCUUCCGCUGUCGGUCUACGAGGGUACGUGGACAACACUCUCCCCUCUCGUUGCUAUGCAUCACCAUGAUCUUGCGUGUGCGUAGGAUUUUUUUUGAAAUUACUACGUUCCCCAACAGUGGCAUCCGAGCCUGGUUUUAUGCGUUAAUGCUAUGCACGAGUAGAACACAAGUGAGUUGUUGGCGAUAUAAGUCAUACUGCUUACCAGCAUGUCAUACUUUGGUUCAGCGGUAUUGUGAGAUGAAGCGGCCCGGACCGACGUUACGCGUACGCUUACGCGAGACUGGUUUCACCGUUUGGAGCACUCGUUGCUUAAAGGUGACUGGCGGGUGUCUGUCUCUCUCACUUUAGUUGAACCGAGUGUGGCUACGCCCGGUCCUUGUGAAGGUUAAAACAGCACCAACUUGACAAACUAUCGUUGUGGUUUUGAUGCGUAGGUAAGAACGGUUCUUGCUAAGCCCGUAGCAGCCACGUAAAACUUGCAACAACAAAGUAGAGGACGUCUAACUUGUUUUUGCAGGGCAUGUUGUGAUGUGAUAUGGUCAAGACAUGAUGUGAUAUAAUGUGUUGUAUGAGAUGAUCAUGUUUUGUAACCGAGUUAUCGGCAACUGGAAGGAGCCAUAUGGUUGUCGCUUUAUUGUAUGAGAUGCAAUCACCAUGUAAUAGUUUUACUUUAUCACUAAACGGCAGCGAUAGUCGUAAAAGCAAUAAGUUGGCGAGACGACAACGAUGCUACGAUGGAGAUCAAGGUGUCGCGCCGGUGACGAUGGUGAUCAUGACGGUGCUUCGGAGAUGGAGAUCACGAGCACGGUGCUUCGGAGAUGGAGAUCACAAGCACAAGAUGAUGAUGGCCAUAUCAUAUCACUUAUAUUGAUUGCAUGUGAUGUUAAUCCUUUAUGCAUCUUAUCUUGCUUUGAUUGACGGUAGCAUUAUACGAUGAUCUCUCACUAAAAUUUCAAGAUAAAAGUGUUCUCCCUGAGUAUGCACCGUUGCAAAAGUUCUUCGUGCUGAGACACCACGUGUUAAUCGGGUGUGAUAGGCUCUACGUUCAAAUACAACGGGUGCAAAACAGUUGCACACGCGGAAUACUCAGGUUAAACUUGACGAGCCUAGCAUAUACAGAUAUGGCCUCGGAACACAGAGACCGAAAGGUCGAGCGUGAAUCAUAUAGUAGAUAUGAUCAACAUAGUGAUGUUCACCAUUGAAACUACUCCAUCUCACGUGUUAAUCGGACAUGGUUUAGUUGCUUUGGAUCACGUAAUCACUUAGAUGAUUAGAGGGAUGUCUAUCUAAGUGGGAGUUCUUAAGUAAUAUGAUUAAUUGAACUUAAAUUUAUCAUGAACUUAGUCCUGAUAGUAUUUUGCAAAUUAUGUUGUAGAUCAAUAGCUCGCGUUGUUGCUUCCCUGUGUUUAUUUUUGAUAUGUUCCUAGAGAAAAAUUAUGUUGAAAAAUGUUAGUAGCAAAGAUGCGGAUUGGAUCCGUGAUCUGAGGAUUAUCCUCAUUGCUGCACAGAAAAAUUAUGUCCUUGAUGCACCGCUAGGUGACAGACCUAUUGCAGGAGCAGAUGCAGACGUUAUGAACGUUUGGCUAGCUCAAUAUGAUGACUACUUGAUAGUUUAGUGCACCAUGCUUAACGGCUUAGAAUCGGGACUUCAAAGACGUUUGAACGUCAUGGACCAUAUAAGAUGUUCCAGGAGUUGAAGUUAAUACUUCAAGCAAAUACACGAGUUGAGAGAUAUGAAGUCUCCAACAAGUUCUAUGGCUAAAAGAUGGAGGAGAAUCGCUCAACUAGUGAGCAUGUGCUCAGAUUGUCUGGGUACUACAAUCGCUUGAAUCAAGUGGGAGUUAAUCUUCCAGAUAAAAUAGUGAUUGACAGAAUUCUCUAGUCACCAUCACCAAGUUAGUAGAACUUUGUGAUGAACUAUAAUACGCAAGGGAUGACGAAAGUAAUUCCCGAGCUCUUCGUGAUGCUGAAAUCGACGAAGGUAGAAAUCAAGAAAAACGUCAAGUGUUGAUGGUUAACAAGACAACUAGUUUCAAGAAAAGGGCAAAGGGAAGAAGGGGAACUUCAAAAAGAAUGGCAAGCAAGUUGCUACUCAAGUGAAGAAGCCCAAGUCUGUACCUAAGCCUGAGACUAAGUGCUUCUACUGCAAAGGGACUGGUCACUGGAGGCGGAACUGCCCCAAGUACUUGGUGGAUAAGAAGGAUGGCAAAGUGAACAAAGGUAUAUUGGAUAUACAUGUUAUUGAUGUGUACUUACUAAUGUUUAUAGCAACCCCUCAGUAUUUGAUAGUGGUUCAGUUGCUAAAGAGUAGUAACUCGAAAACGGGAGUUGCAGAAUAAACAGAGACUAGUAAAAGGCGAGGUGACGAUGUGUGUUGGAAGUAGUUCCAAGAUUGAUAUGAUCAUCAUCGCACACUCCCUAUACUUUCGGGAUUAGUGUUGAAACUAAAUAAGUGUUAUUUGGUGUUUGCGUUGAGCAUGAAUAUGAUUUGAUCAUGUUUAUUGCAAUACGGUUAUUCAUUUAAGUUAGAGAACAAUUGUUGUUCUGUUUACAUGAAUAAAAACCUUUUAUGGUCAUACACACCAACGAAAAUGGUUUGUUGGAUCUCGAUCGUAGUGAUACACAUAUUCAUAAUAAUGAAGCCAAAAGAUGCAAAGUUAAUAAUGAUAGUGCAACUUAUUUGUGGCACUGCCGUUUAGGUCAUAUUGGUGUAAAGCGCAUGAAGAAACUCCAUACUGAUGGGAUUUUGGAAUCACUUGAUUAUGAAUCACUUGAUGCUUGCGAACCGUGCCUCAUGGGCAAGAUGACUAAAACGCCGUUCUCCGGAACUAUGGAGAGAGCAACAGAUUUGUUGGAAAUCAUACAUACAGAUGUAUGUGGUUCGAUGAAUAUUAAGGCUCGUAGCUGGUAUCAUUAUUUUCUGACCUUCACAGAUGAUUUGAGCAGAUAUGGGUAUAUCUGCUUGAUGAAACAUAAGUCUGAAACAUUUGAAAAGUUCAAAGAAUUUCAGAGUGAAGUGGAAAAUCAUCGUGACAAGAAAAUAAAGUUUCUAUGAUCUGAUCGUAGAGAAGAGUAUUUGAGUUACGAGUUUGGCCUUCAGUUAAAACAAUGUGAAAUAGUUUCACUACUCAUGCCACCUCGAACACCAUGGUGUAAUGGUGUGUCCGAACGUCGUAAUCGUACUUUAUUAGAUAUGGUGCGAUAUAUGAUGUAUCUUACCGAUCUACCACUAUCGUUUUGGGGUUAUGCAUUAAAGACAGCUGCAUUCACGUUAAAUAGGGCACCAUCAAAAUCCGUUGAGAUGACGCCUUAUGAACUGAGGUUUAGCAAGAAACCAAAGUUAUCGUUUCUUAAAAUUUGGGGUUGCAAUGCUUAUGUGAAGAAGUUUCAUCCUGAUAAGAUCAAACCCAAAUCGGAGAAAUGUGUCUUCAUAGGAUACCCAAAGGAGACAGUUGGGUACACCUUCUAUCACAGAUCCGAAGGCAAGACAUUUGUUGCUUAGUAUGGAUCCUUUCUAGAGAAGGAGUUUCUCUCGAAAGAAGUGAGUGGGAGGAAAGUAGAACUUGAUGAGGUAACUGUACCUGCUCCCUUAUUGGAAAGUAGUUCAUCACAGAAAUCUGUUCCUGUGACUCCUACACCAAUUAGUGAGGAAGUUAAUGAUGAUGAUCAUGUAACUUCAGAUCAAGUUACUACCAAACCUCGUAGGUAAACCAGAGUAAGAUCCGCACCAGAGUGGUACGGUAAUCCUGUUCUGGAGGUUAUGUUACUAGACCAUGACAAACCUACGAACUAUGAGGAAGCGAUGAUGAGCCCAGAUUCCGCAAAAUGGCUUGAGGCCAUGAAAUCUGAGAUGAGAUCCAUGUAUGAAGAACAAAGUAUGGACUUUGGUUGACUUUCCCAAUGAUCGGCGAGCCAUAGAAAAUAAAUGGAUCUUCAAGAGGAAGACGGACGCUGAUAGUAGUGUUACUAUCUACAAAGCUAGACUUGUCGGAAAAAGGUUUUUGACAAAGUUCAAGGUGUUGACUACGAUGAGAUUUUCUCACUCGCAGUGAUGCUUAAGUCUGUCCGAUCCAUGUUAGCAAUUGUCGCAUUUUAUGAAAUCUGGCAAAUGGAUAAACAAAACUGCAUUCCUUAAUGGAUUUAUUAAAGAAGAGUUGUAUAUGAUGCAACCAGAAGGUUUUGUCAAUCCUAAAGGUGCUAACAAAAUAUGCAAGCUCCAGCGAUCCAUCUAUGGACUGGUGCAAGCAUCUCAGAGUUGGAAUAUACACUUUGAUAAGUUGAUCAAAGGAUAUAGUUUUAUACAGACUUGCGGUGAAGCCUGUAUUUACAAGAAAGUGAGUGGGAGCACUACAACAUUUCUGAUAAGUAUAUGUGUAUGACAUAUUGUUGAUCGGAAAUAAUGUAGAAUUAUUCUGCAAAGCAUAAAGGAGUGUUUGAAAGGAGUUUUUCAAAGAAAGACCUCGGUAAAGCUGCUUACAUAUUGAGCAUCAAGAUCUAUAGAGAUAGAUCAAGACGCUUGAUAAGUUUUUUUCAAUGAGUACAUACCUUAACAAGAUUUUGAAGUAGUUCAAAAUAGAACAGUCAAAGGAAGAGUUCUUGCCUGUGUUACAAGGUGUGAAAUUGAGUAAGACUCAAAGCCCGACCACGACAGAAGAUAGAAAGAGAAUGAAAGUCAUUCCCUAUGCCUUGGCCAUAGGUUCUAUAAAGUAUGCCAUGCUGUGUACCAGAUCUAUUGUAUACCCUACACUGAUUUUGGCAAGGGAGUAUAAUAGUGAUCUAGGAGUAGAUCACUGGACAGCGGUCAAAAUUAUCCUUAGUGGAAUAAGGAAAUGUUUCUCGAUUAUGGAAGUGACAAAAGGUUCAUCGUAAAGGGUUACGUCGAUGCAAGUUUUGACACUAAAUCUAGAUGACUCUAAGUCUCGGUCUAGAUACAUAUUGAAAGUGGGAGCAAUUAGCUAGAGUAGCUCCGUGCAGAGCAUUGUAGACAUAGAAAUUUGCAAAAUACUUACGGAUCUGGAUGUGACAGACCCGUUGACUAAAAUUAUCUCACAAUCAAAACAUGAUCACACCUUAGUACUCUUUGGGUGUUAAUCACAUAGCGAUGUGAACUAGAUUAUUGACUCUAGUAAACCUUUUGAGUGUUGGUCACAUAGAGAUGUGAACUAUGGGUGUUAAUCACAUGGUGAUGUGAAUUAUUGAUGUUAAAUCACAUGGCGAUGUGAACUAGAUUAUUGACUCUAGUGCAAGUGGGAGACUGAAGGAAAUAUGCCCUAGAGGCAAUAAUAAAGUAGUAUAUAUUUCCUUAUAUCAUGAUAAAUGUUUAUUAUUCAUGCUAGACUUGUAUUAACCGGAAACAUAAUACAUGUGUGAAUACAUAGACAAACAGAGUGUCACUAGUAUGCCUCUACUUGACUAGCUCGUUAAUCAAAGAUGGUUAUGUUUCCUAGCCAUAGACAUGAGUUGUCAUUUGAUUAACGGGAUCACCUCAUUAGGAGAAUGACGUGAUUGACUUGACCCAUUCCGUUAGCUUAGCACCUGAUCGUUUAGUAUGUUGCUAUUGCUUUCUUCAUGACUUAUACAUGUUCCUAUGACUAUGAGAUUAUGCAACUCCCGUUUACCGGAGGAACACUUUGUGUGCUACCAAACGUCACAACAUAAAUGGGUGAUUAUAAAGGUGCUCUACAGGUGUCUCCAAAGGUACUUGUUGGGUUGGCGUAUUUCGAGAUUAGGAUUUGUCACUCCGAUUGUCGGAGAGGUAUCUCUGGGCCCACUCGGUAAUGCACAUCACUAUAAACCUUGCAAGCAUUGUGACUAAUGAGUUAGUUGCGGGAUGAUGUAUUACGGAACGAGUAAAGAGACUUGCCGGUAACGAGAUUGAACUAGGUAUCGAGAUACCGACGAUCAAAUCUCGGGCAAGUAACAUACCGGUGACAAAGGGAACAACGUAUGUUGUUAUGCGGUCUGACCGAUAAAGAUCUUCGUAGAAUAUGUGGGAGCCAAUAUGGGCAUCCAGGUCCCGCUAUUGGUUAUUGACCGGAGACGUGUCUCGGUCAUGUCUACAUAGUUCUCGAACCCGUAGGGUCCGCACGCUUAAAGUUACGAUGACAGUUUUAUUAUGAGUUUAUAUAUGUUGAUGUACCGAAGGAGUUCGGAGUCCCGGAUGAGAUCGGGGACAUGACGAGGAGUCUCGAGAUGGUCGAGACGUAAAGAUCGAUAUAUUGGACGACUAUAUUCGGACUUCGGAAAGGUUCCGAGUGAUUCGGGUAUUUUUCGGAGUACCGGAGAGUUACGGGAAUACGUAUUGGGCCUUAUUGGGCCAUACGGGAAAGAAGGAAAAGGGCCUCAAGGGUGGCCGCACCCCUCCCCUUGGUCUGGUCCGAAUUGGACUAGGGAAGGGGGGCGCCCCUUCCUUCCUUCUCUUUUUCCCUUCCUCUUUUCCUAUUCCAUAUGGGAGGUGGAAUCCUACUAGGACUAGGGAGUCCUAGUAGGACUCCACACUUGGUGCGCCCCCUCCUAGGGCCGGCCUCCUCCUCCCUUGCUCCUUUAUAUACGAGGGCAGGGGGGCACCCCAGAGACAACAAUUGAUCCUUGAGAUCUCUUAGCCGUGUGCGGUGCCCCCCUCCACCAUAUUACACCUCGAUAAUACCGUUGCGGAGCUUAAGCGAAGGCCUGCGUCGGUGGAACAUCAUCAUCGUCACCACGCCGUCGUGCUGUCGAAACUCUCCCUCAACACUCGGCUGGAUCGGAGUUCGAGGGACGUCAUCGAGCUGAACGUGUGUAGAACUCGGAGGUGCCGUGCGUUCGGUACUUGAUCGGUCGGAUCGUGAAGACGUACGACUACAUCAACCGCGUUGUGAUAACGCUUCCGCUGUCGGUCUACGAGGGUACGUGGACAACACUCUCCCCUCUCGUUGCUAUGCAUCACCAUGAUCUUGCGUGUGCUUAGGAAUUUUUUUGAAAUUACUACGUUCCCCAACACCCACAUGUAAGAACCAGGGGCCAAAAUGUCCAACAGACGCCCAGUUACUGGUCAAAGACCAUUGACCCGACGGAAACGACCCGGAGGGGGAUUUCUGUAAGGGCCACAGACGGAAGAGGGGUAUUUUUGAGCAUACCUGAAAACUAGGGGCAAAUCCCAGGUGGUGGCUCAAGUUAGGGGGAGAAGUAUAAUUAUCCCUUAUGAAUAUGUGUAUCACUACUAUCGAGAUUCAACAAAAAUAGACCACUCUUCAAGGGUGCAUGACCAUAAAAGAUAUUACUCAUAUAAAUAGAACAACCAUUAUUCUUUGAUUUAAAUGAAUAACCGUCUCGCAUCAAACAAGAUCCAGAUAUAAUGUUCAUGCUCAACGCUGGCACCAAAUAACAAUUAUUCAGGUCUAAAACUAAUCCCGAAGGUAGAUGUAGAGGUAGCGUGCCGAUUGCGAUUACAUCGACUUUGGAACCAUUUCCCACGUGCAUCGUCACCUCGUCCUUAGCCAAUCUUCGCUUAAUCCGUAGUCCCUAUUUCGAGUUGCAAAUAUUAGCAACAGAACCAGUAUCAAAUACCCAGGUGCUACUGCGAGCAUUAGUAAGGUACACAUCAAUAACAUGUAUAUCACAUAUACCUUUGUUCACCUUGCCAUCCUUCUUAUCCGCCAAAUACUUGGGGCAGUUCCGCUUCCAGUGACUAGUCUGUUUGCAGUAGAAGCACUCAGUCUCAGGCUUAGGUCCAGACUUGGGUUUCUUGUCCCGAGCAGCAACUUGUUUGCUGUUUUUCUUGAAGUUCCCCUUCUUCUUCCCUUUGCCCUUUUUCUUGAAACCGGCGGUCUUGUUAACCAUCAACACUUGAUGCUCCGUCUUGAUUUCUACCUCCGCAGCCUUUAGCAUUGCGAAGAGCUCGGGAAUUGUCUUAUCCAUCCCUUGCAUGUUAUAGUUCAUCACGAAGCUCUUGUAGCUUGGUGGCAGUGAUUGAAGAAUUCUGUCAAUGACGCUAUCAUCCGGAAGAUUAACUCCCAGUUGAAUCAAGUGAUUGUUAUACCCAGACAUUCUGAGUAUAUGCUCACUGACAGAACUAUUCUCCUCCAUCUUACAGCUGUAGAACUUAUUGGAGACUUCAUAUCUCUCAAUCUGGGCAUUUGCUUGAAAUAUUAACUUCAACUCCUGGAACAUCUCAUAUGCUCCAUGACGUUCAAAACGUCGUUGAAGUCCUGGUUCUAAGCCGUAAAGCAUGGCACACUAAACUAUCGAGUAGUCAUCAACUUUGCUUUGACAGACGUUCAUAACAUCUGGUGUUGCUCCUGCAGCAGGUUUGGCACCUAGCGGUGCUUCCAGGACGUAAUUCUUCUGUGCAGCAAUGAGGAUAAUCCUCAAGUUACGGACCCAGUCCGUGUAAUUGCUACCAUCAUCUUUCAACUUUGCUUUCUCAAGGAACGCAUUAAAAUUCAACGGAACAACAGCACGGGCCAUCUAUCUACAAUCAACAUAGACAAGCAAAAUACUAUCAGGUACUAAGUUCAUGAUAAAUUUAAGUUCAAUUAAUCAUAUUACUUAAGAACUCCCACUUAGAUAGACACCCCUCUAAUCCUCUAAGUGAUCACGUGAUCCAAAUCAACUAAACCAUGUCCGAUCAUCACGUGAGAUGGAGUAGUUUCAAUGGUGAACAUCACUAUGUUGAUCAUAUCUACUAUAUGAUUCACGCUCGACCUUUCGGUCUUAGUGUUCCGAGGCCAUAUCUGCAUAUGCUAGGCUCGUCAAGUUUAACCUGAGUAUUCCGCGUGUGCAACUGUUUUGCACCCGUUGUAUUUGAACGUAGAGCCUAUCACACCCGAUCAUCACGUGGUGUCUCAGCACGAAGAACUUUAGCAACGGUGCAUACUCAGGGAGAACACUUAUACCUUGAUAAUUUAGUGAGAGAUCAUCUUAUAAUGCUACCGUCAAUCAAAGCAAGAUAAGAUGCAUAAAAGAUAAACAUCACAUGCAAUCAAUAUAAGUGAUAUGAUAUGGCCAUCAUCAUCUUGUGCUUGUGAUCUCCAUCUCCGAAGCACCGUCAUGAUCACCAUCAUCACCGGCGCGACACCUUGAUCUCCAUCGUAGCAUCGUUGUCGUCUCGCCAACUUAUGCUUUUACGAUUAUCGCUACCGCUUAGUGAUAAAGUAAAGCAUUACAGGGCGAUUGCAUUGCAUACAAUAAAGCGACAACCAUAUGGCUCCUGCCAGUUGCCGAUAACUCGGUUACGAAACAUGAUCAUCUCAUACAGUAAAAUAUAGUAUCAUGUCUUGACCAUAUCACAUCACAACAUGCCCUGCAAAAACAAGUUAGACGUCCUCUACUUUGUUGUUGCAAGUUUUACGUGGCUGCUACGGGCUGAGCAAGAACCGUUCUUACCUACGCAUCAAAACCACAACGAUAGUUUGUCAAGUUAGUGUUGUUUUAACCUUCUCAAGGACCAGGCGUAGCCACACUCGGUUCAACUAAAGUUGGAGAAACUGACACCUGCCAGCCACCUGUGUGCAAAGCACGUCGGUAGAACCAGUCUCGCGUAAGCGUACGCGUAAUGUCGAUCCGGGCCGCUUCAUCCAACAAUACCGCCGAACCAAAGUAUGACAUGCUGGUAAGCAGUAUGACUUAUAUCGCCCACAACUCACUUGUGUUCUACUCGUGCAUAUAACAUCUGCGCAUAAAACCAGGCUCGGAUACCACUGUUGGGGAACGUAGUAAUUUCAAAAAAUUUCCUACGCACACGCAAGAUCAUGAUGAUGCAUAGCAACGAGAGGGGAGAGUGUUGUCCAUGUACCCUCGUAGACCGAAAGCGGAAGCGUUAGCACAACGCGGUUGAUGUAGUCGUACGUCUUCAUGAUCCGACCGAUCAAGUACGGAACGCACGGCACCUCCGAGUUCAGCACACGUUCAGCUCGACGACGUCCCUCGAACUCCGAUCCAGCCGAGCUUUGAGGGAGAGUUUCGUCAGCAUGACAGCAUGGUGACGAUGAUGAUGUUCUACCGACGCAGGGCUUCGCUUAAGCACCGCUACGAUAUUAUCGAGGUGGAUUAUGGUGGAGGGGGGCACCGCACACGGCUAAGAGAUCAAUGAUCAAUUGUUGUGUCUUUGGGGUGCCCCCUGCCCCCGUAUAUAAAGGAGCAAGGGGAGGAGGCGGCCGGCCAGGGAGAGGCGCGCCAAGGGGGAGUCCUACUCCCACUAGGAGUAGGACUCCUCCUAUUCCUAGUAGGAGUCAGAGAGGGGGAAGGAAAGGGAGAGGAGGGGAAGGAAAGAGGGGGCCGGCCCCCUUGCCCUAAACCAAUUCGGUUUGGGCCUUGGGGGGCAUGCCCCACACUCCCCUUGCUGCCCUCUAUUUCCACUAAGGCCCAUGUAGGCCCAUUAAGCCCCCGGGGGUUUCCGGUAAUCCCCGGUACUCCUGUAAAAUCCCGAUUUCACCUGGAACACUUCCGAUAUCCAAAUAUUGGCUUCCAAUAUAUUAAUCUUUAUGUCUCGACCAUUUCGAGACUCCUCGUCAUGUGCGUGAUCACAUCCGGGACUCCGAACAACCUUAGGUACAUCAAAACUCAUAAACUCAUAACAUAACCAUCAUCGAAACUUUAAGCGUGCGGACCCUACGGGUUCAAGAACUAUGUAGACAUGACCGAGACAUGUCUUCGGUCAAUAACCAAUAGCGGAACCUAGAUGCUCAUAUUGGCUCCCACAUAUUCUACGAAGAUCUUUAUCGGUCAGACCGCAUAACAACAUACGUUGUUCCCUUUGUCAUCGGUAUGUUACUUGCCCGAGAUUCGAUCGUCGGUAUCUCAAUACCUAGUUCAAUCUCGUUACCGGCAAGUCUCUUUACUCGUUCCGUAAUACAUCAUCCUGCAACUAACUCAUUAGUUGCAAUGCUUGCAAGGCUUAUAGUGAUGUGCAUUACCGAGUGGGCCCAGAGAUACCUCUCCGACAAUCGGAGUGACAAAUCCUAAUCUCGAUAUACGCCAACCCAACAAGUACCUUCGGAGACACUUGUAGAGCACCUUUAUAAUCACCUAGUUACAUUGUGACGUUUGGUAACACACAAAGUGUUCCUCCGGUAAACGGGAGUUGCAUAAUCUCAUAGUCAUAGGAACAUGUAUAAGUCAUGAAGAAAGCAAUAGCAGAAUACUAAACGAUCGUGUGCUAAGCUAACGGAAUGGGUCAAGUCAAUCACAUCAUUCUCCUAAUGAUGUGAUCCCGUUAAUCAAAUGACAACUCAUGUCAAUGGCUAGGAAACAUAACCAUCUUUGAUUAACGAGCUAGUCAAGUAGAGGCAUACUAGUGACACUCUGUUUAUCUAUGUAUUCACACAAGUAUUAUGUUUUCGGUUAAUACAAUUCUAGCUUGAAUAAUAAACAUUUAUCAUGAUAUAAGGAAAUAAAUAAUAACUUUAUUAUUACCUCUAGGGCAUAUUUCCUUCAACCUCUAGUGAACCUGAAAUAGAAAACCCCCCCGAAGCUAAUAGUGAUGUUUCCAUCUCUGAUACUGAAACUCAAUCUGGUAAUGAACAUUCACCUAGUGAUAAUGAACAAGAUAAUGAUAAUGUUCAUGAAGACACCCAACCAAACAAUAAAGAGACAGAUAAUUAUGUUGAGAUAGAACCUGCUGUUGAUCUUGAUAACCCACAACCUAAAAAUAAAAGAUAUGACAAAAGAGACUUUGUGGUUACAAAACAUGAUAAACAAAGAGAACCAUGGGUUCAAAAACCCAUGCCCUUUCCACCUAAACCAACUAAGAAAAAAGAUGAUGAAGAAUUUGAACGUGUUGCUGAACUUAGGCCAGUCUUUUUGCGCACUCGCUUGACUGAUAUUUUAAAGAUGGCCCCUUAUGCAAAAUACAUGAAAGACAUCAUCACUAAUAAGAGGAAAAUACAUGAAGCUGAAAUCUUCACCAUGCUUGCUAAUUAUUCUUUUAAGGAUGGAGUACCUAAAAAACUUGGAGAUCCAGGAAUACCAACUAUACCUUGCUCCAUCAAAAGAAAUUAUGUUAAAACAGCUUUGUGUGAUUUAGGAGCUGGUGUUGGUGUUAUGCCUUUCUCCUUAUAUCAAAGACUUGAUUUGAAUAAACUCACACCUAUUGAAAUAUCUUUGCAAAUGGCUGAUAAAUCAACUGCCAUACCUAUCGGUAUUUGUUUUGAUGUGCCCGUUGUUGUUGUUGCAAAUAUUACUAUUUUAACUGACUUUGUUAUACUUGAGAUGCCCGAGGACGACAACAUGUCAAUUAUCCUUGGUAGACCCUUUUUGAAUACUGCAGGGGCUGUUAUUGAUUGCAAUAAAAGCAAGGUCACUUUUCAUAUCAAUGGUAAUGAACAUGCAGUGCACUUUUCGAAGAAACAAUUCGUGAAUGGUAUUAAUGUUAUUGAAAAAUCUCCGACACUCACUAUUGGAAGUUUUCAACUACAUCUGCCUAUUGCCAAAAAGACAUAUGUAAUGGUUAUUGUUGGGGACAUGCAUAUCCCCAUUGAGGUAACUUGGCGUUUUACGGAAGUUCUUCGGUUUCGUGCUAAUCGAAGGAGGUUGUUAAUAAGACCUGAUCAACCUUAUUAAUGGAUCAUUUUUUAGAGGUAUGAAGUUGAUGAAUUUAGUAGGCACUACCUCCUGUCCCUAUCUUUUGUUCUCUGUUUUUCUUAGUUAAAUAAAAUAAAAUGCCAUGUUUAUCAUUUUUUCUAGAUUUCCCGUGCAAUAAAAAAUGACCCAAAAAUAAAAGUGCUCAGAAUGCCCUGAAAAUUUAACAUGAUUUUUUCUGAAUAUUUCUGAAUUUUUUGUGCAAAUAACAUUAGAGGGGGGGGGGGUGCACCUGGUGACCACAAGACACUAGGGCGCGCCAGCAACCCCAAGCGCGCCCUGGUGGGUUGUGGUCCCCACAUGAGCCCCCUCACUUAUCUCUUUAGUCCAUGUCAUCUCCUACCUCCAGAAAAAAUCACCAUUGCUCUCUCUCUCUCUCUCUCUCUCUCUCUCUCUCUCGUGUUCUUGCUCUCAAACCCGCGGAUUUCGAUCUCUUUGCUCGAAGCUCCGUUUCCAAAACUGUUUUGGGGGAUUGCUACUUGGUAUGUGACUCCUCCAUUGCUCCAAUUAGGUUUUUCUUUAGUGGUUUGUAUUUUGAAUAAUUAGCUACUCUUGAUGCUGCUGUAGAUGAGCUUGCAUGUUGAAUUCUUAGAGUUCUAAGUAGUUUGAAUGCUUGAUAUGGCCUCUAUGCAUCCUUAUGAGUAUCUGCUAUCAAUCUUGUGAAGUUAUGUUGACAUAAAUUUUUUGGACUAAAUUUUCCAGAAUUUUAUCUAUAGGAAUAAGAUGAGUUUCUUUAGGAAGUUUGCCUCCAAGAAAUGCAAAGGGAGUCAUUAGGGAAUCAUCGGACAAUGACCUCCACACUCGGAGAAGGGCGGAGGUGCGGCCGUGCGAAUGGCCGCAUAAUCCCUUCAUGGAGGGGGCCGGGAUUCAUCAAGAGUUCGCCCAAUUCGCCGCAAAUGCCGGGCUAACCAACUUCAUCGUAGCUGAGUGUGAACAAUACCAUCUCCUUACAAAUUCCUUUGUGUAAAUUUUGAGUAGGAAUAAUCCCCCUGAGGUGCAGUUUAAUUUAUAUGAUGAAACCCGUGAGAUGCCACUCACUGGUUUUUGCGAUAUAUGCUUGAUCCCUUCUGACAGGGAAAUAAGAGAGCCUAGACCUGCAGAGUUUGAGGACUUUUAUCUUACUCUGGCAGUGGGAGAUGAGAGAGGUGUUUCGAGUGUUACCGCCACUAGCUUGCAGUUUCCUUCUGUGCAUUAUUUUGCGCUAUUUAUCGCUAAGUGUUUAAUUGCUAGAGAGAAGGUCGGUGCACUCAGUACCCCCGACUUCGCCAUUUUAUGUCGUGCACUAUAUGACCAUAACACCUAUCAGAACGCCCAGGCAGCGGCAGAGGAGGAGCCUCAAGAGUGGGACACUCAGGUGCCGCCACCGCUGCACUUCGACAUUGGACAAGAUGGCUACUACGGAUGGUGAUCACCAAGCUAGGCCAAAAGCCUAAGCUUGGGGGAGUACGUAUUUCCACUGACAUUAUAUUCAUGCUCACACAUUUCUAUUCCAGUUGUCGGUGUUCAUACUUUUUCAUUGUAUUAGCCAUGCUAGAUUUAUUUUCUUGCUUUCUUCUUGUGUGUUUGAAAAACUUUGAGAAAACCCAAAAAUAUUUCCUAUUUCUUUUCGGUUUUUCUUUCUAGUUUAAUUACUUGUAGUAUUAAAAUAAAACUGAAAAAUAUUUCUCGAUUCUUCUUUUGCUUGUUGGGAGCUUUGCCGUGUAAAUAGUUUUUUUCGUUUUUGUUUUUCCUUUUACCUUAAUUUGCUUUCUUCAAGAAAAACUAAAAACUCCAAAAAUAUUUUCAGUGUGUUUCUCUGAAAUUCUUUUCCUUUUUAUUGAGUCAUAGCAAGAAGAAGACCACGAUGAAAAUAUUGAGUGGCUCUCAUAUGCAUUACUGUUGAUCUAACAAAGAGCCCAAAUUGCUUUGUCUUCUCCUUUUGUAUAAAAUGUUUGUAGAUUCCAGCUUAGUCCGUGACACUCUUGCACUAUUAUUAUUUUCAUAUCAUUUGGUCGUGCAAGUGAAAGGCAAUAAUGACGAUAUUUGAUGAACUGGCUAUGGCAGAGAGAAACGGGUAUGAACUCAACUUGUUCUGUUUUUGUAAAUAUGUUUAACCUAGUAUCCAUGAUUCAGCAUAUUAUGAUCAAACAUGUUUGCAAUGACAAUUAGAGAUUAUAGUUUCUCAUGCUAUGCUUAAGUAGUUAGGAGCAGGUAAUGAUUUAUCUUGGAUGUAGUAUGAUGAUAUAGUAUCCUCCUCUGAAUGUUUCAAGUGGCUUGACUUGGCACAUGUUCAUGCACAUAGUUGAAUCAAAACCAACAUAGCAUCUACGAUAUUUAUGUUCAUGGUGUUCAUAUCCUACUCAUGCCAGCAUCCAAUGUUCAUUAUUCAUAAUGCAUGUUCAUGACCAUUUUCGCUCUUUAGCUGGCUGCUUCUCAACCUAUUUGCUAGCUGAGGGAGUCCUGGAUUAGGGGGUCCUCGGACAGCCGGACUAUAUCCUUUGGCCGGACUGUUGGACUAUGAAGAUACAAGAUUGAAGACUUCGUCCCGUGUCCGGAUGGGACUCUCCUUGGCGUGGAAGGCAAGCUUGGCAAUUCGGAUAUGUAGAUAUCCUCCCUUGUAACCGACUCUGUGUAACCCUAGCCCCCUCUGGUGUCUAUAUAAACCGGAGGGUUUAGUCCGUAGGACAACAACAAUCAUAAUCAUAGGCUAGCUUCUAGGGUUUAGCCUCUACGAUCUCAUGGUAGAUCAACUCUUGUAAUACUCAUAUCAUCAAGAUCAAUCAAGCAGGAAGUAGGGUAUUACCUCCAUCGAGAGGGCCCGUACCUGGGUAAACAUUGUGUCCCCCGCCUCCUGUUACCAUCCGCCUUAGACGCACAGUUCGGGACCCCCUACCCGAGAUCCGCCGGUUUUGACAUCGACAUUGGUGCUUUCAUUGAGAGUUCCACUGUGCCGUCACCAUAAGGCUUGAUUGCUCAUCUUGUUGUCAAGGACAACAUCACCUCGGGGGGAGCCCUGGCUGUAGGCCAAACCCUCCGAUUAGGCGGCUUCGUCAUGACCGCCCGUUCGGCCGUUGCGCCGAUGAUGACUUCUCGGGCCAUCAAAAAUAGUCUCCACGUCGGCUCGGGAUUCGCUUAGCAGAUGGAUCCAAUGGAGCUCUCUUCCCUGAACAAGCUCUUGGAUCGCAUCGCCACCUGGAUCGGGCUUAAACCCGACCAAAGGGAGAUCAAUUCUCCGCCGGUCACCCAUCAGAUAGCGGUGGUGGAGGAGCAACGCAUCGAUUCUUCCUCUAUCUUGAGGACGAACUAUGUCCGGAUUCCCGAGCUCUCCGAGCCGGAUACCCGUCUACGGGAGGACAUGGCCCAGGCUUUGAACCUAGAAUCAGACAGCGGGCCAGAUCUAUUGGGCAGCAUCCCAGAGCUCGAACUGCCAAGCUCGGAAACUCCUCCGCCCCUGGGUCUCAGAUCGAGUCAGGGUUCGGACCUAAAUCUACCCACCCACCUAGAUAUAAGUAAUCUUUCCCACAUUAGACAAGAGCCCCAAGAGACAGUACAUCACUAUUGGGCCAGAUUCCUCCUUGUAAUGAGCAAUGUUAAGGACUGUCGCGAGGAAGACGCAAUUUCAUUCUUUUGCAAAAAUUGCACGGACAAGGGAAUCCUCAACGCCAUAAGUCACCGUGAGAUAACACACUUCGCUGACUUGGUGGCUAUAGUACAGAAGUACUGUGCGAUGGAAAGCGCUUGGAAAACUCAAACAAAAUUCUGGGAUCCUCCGGCUCUCACUAAACCCCCCGUCCGAACUAAAAGGGUGUACUCUCGUAAGUCACCCGAUCCAAUUACAAAGAAACAAAAUCCCACUACAGGGUGUGGAACCGUAUUGGAGGGAUGGCUCAAUGGGCCAUGCAAAAUUCACAGUACAUCGGAUACCAUGCCAACACAUAGCCUUAGAGCAUGUUGGGUACUCCGGCAGGUGGCCAAGAGCGGGGAGGAUAUCCUCAUCAACAAUGCAACAGAGCACCAUCCCGUGGAAAUAACAAUACAGUAUUGACAGUCUUCGAGACCUUCGCCUCAAAUAAUAGGCGUAAGUGUGCACUCCACAACCUUGCCGAAGUCUGCCACAUAGCAGCAAUAAAUCCAUGGAGCGACACGACUAUAACCUUCAAUGCCAGUGACGAACCUAAAUUCCGAACAGCCCGAGCACCGGCCGCCUUAGUCCUUAGUCCAAUUGUGGACGGCUUCCGGCUUACUAAAGUGCUCAUGGACGGUGGCAGCGGAUUAAACCUCAUCUAUGAGGAAACCCUUCGAAAAAUGGAAAUAGACAAGAGCCGCAUUGAGCAAAGCAGCACGACCUUCAGAGGAAUCAUCCCUAGUCGGGAGGCACGAUGUGCAGGAAAAAUCACACUAGAUGUGGUAUUCGGUACACCGGAGAAUUAUAGGUCCGAAUAAAUCACGUUCCAAGUGGCCCCGUUCAGUAGUGGAUACCACGCCCUUUUAGGGCGGGAGGCGUUCACGAUCUUCCAUGCUAUACCCCAUUACGGGUACAUGAAGCUCAAAAUGCCCGGGCCCAAUGGAAUCAUCACUCUAGCUAGUGAUCCGGACAUAGCACUCCGCACCGAAAAUAAAACCGCCGCACUAGCCCUCGAGGCGUUAUCUGAAGCCCUUGCGGCCGAAGAACUAACUGCGCUGCAUUCCACAGUGGACAGGGACGACGUGAUACUUGACAAAAGACCCAAGUCCACCUCGUUUAAACCAGCGGACAAAAUAGUCAAAUUCCAAGUCCACCCAACGGACCCUGCAAAAACAGCAUCCAUCGGGGCACAGUUAAACCCCACAGUAGACGCCGCACCGCGGGAGUUCUUGCGCGAGAAUUGGGACAUCUUCGCCUGGCAUCCUUCAGACAUGCCAGGAAUCCCACGCAGGCUGGCCGAGCAUAGCCUUAACAUUCUGAAGGGGUUCAAGCCGGUCAAGCAGACUCUUCGGCGUUUCUCUGAGCCUAAGCGACAAGCCAUGUGAGAGGAGCUAGCAAGUUACUUGAGGCCGGAUUCAUUAGAGAAAUAAAACAUCCGGACUGGCUAGCAAACCUGGUGAUGGUACCAAAGAAGGACAAAUCCUGGCGCCUAUGUGUCGAUUUCAAGGACCUUAACAAGGCUUGCCCCAAGGAUCCCUUCCCUCUCCCCCGCAUCGCUCAAAUUAUCGAUGCUACCGCAGGACACGACUCAUUGUGUUUCCUCGACGCAUACUCCGGAUACCAUCAAAUUAAGAUGGCAGAGUCCGAUCAAGCCGCAACGGCAUUUAUCACUCCAUACGGCCCCUUCUGUUUUAACACCAUGCCUUUCAGGCUCAAAAACGCCGGUGCAACCUAUCAACGCAUGAUUCAGACAUGCCUGGAAACACAAAUUGGCAAAACAGUGGAGGCGUACGUAGACGACGUGGUCAUCAAAAACAGACACGUCGAAUCCUUAAUAGACGACUUGAGGCUCAGGUUCGACAAACUCCGAACAUAUGACAUCAAGCUCAAUCCGGAAAAAUGCGUUUUCGGCGUGCCCGCCGGAAAGCUCUUGGGCUUCAUCGUCUCCAGCAGAGGAAUUGAAGCAAAUCUGGCUAAAAUACGAGCUCUGUCACAGUGGGCUAUCCCAACAGACCUCAAGCAAAUCCAAAAAUUAACUGGAUGUGUGGCUGCCUUAAGCCGCUUUAUCUCCCGAUCAGGGGAAAAGGCACUACCCCUUUAUCGCCUUCUUCGACGCACCAAAUACUUCGAGUGGACGGAUGCGACCACGGCCGGAUUGGAAGAAAUAAAAGCCGUUUUGGCCACCAACCCAAUCUUGGCCGCGCCAAAUGUCGGCGAACCAAUGCUGUUAUAUAUAGCGGCAACACACCAAGUUGUAAGCGCAGUGCUCGUCGUCAAACGAGAGACGGACGGACAUAAGUUCCCGCUUCAAAAGCCGGUAUACUAUGUAUCCACUGUCCUCACUCCAUGCAAAUCACGGUACCCACAUUAUCAAAAGAUAGCAUACGCGGUCUUCAUGGCAUCCCAGAAAUUACGACACUACUUUCAAGAGUGUUCAAUUACGGUGGCCUCUGAAGUACCACUCAACGACAUAAUAAAUAACCGUGAUGCCACGGGCCGGAUUGCUAAAUGGGCUAUUGAGCUCCUCCCGUUUGACAUAACAUACAAACCACGGCGAGCCAUGAAGUCACAAGUACUGGCUGAUUUCGUGGCCGAAUGGACAGAAGCCGAACUCCCUAAAGAGUACGGCGCGUACUCCAAUUGGAUCAUGCACUUUGACGGCUCUAAGAUGCUGGCUGGUCUAGGGGCAAGCGUCGUCCUGACAUCCCCCACCGGAGAUACAGUCCAAUAUGUACUCCAAAUAUUAUACACAGACUCCAACAAUGCAGCAGAAUACGAGGCCCUGUUGCAUGAUCUCCGGAUAGCAGUCUCCAUGGGCAUUCAACGCCUAGAGGUGCGUGGGGAUUCAAACCUCGCAACAUCUCAAAUAAAUGGAGACUUUGACGCCAAGGACCCAAAAAUGGCGGCUUACCGCAACGCCGUCCUCAAAAUGUCAGCUCGGUUCGAGGGGCUUGAAUUCCACCAUGUGGUCAGGGAAAACAAUCAAGCGGAGGACAUCCUCACCCGCAUCGGCGCUAAGCGCGACCCUGUCCCACCUAAUAUCUUCUUGGAAAGGCUGUUUAAGCCAUCCGUGGUAUGGGAAGGAGAGACCGGCAACAACAGUCCGGACCUGGCCACAACACCAGAUACCGAACACUCUGACGUAAUCGAAGGCUCUGCCAUCGAAAUAACGCCUUCGGCCCACAUGAUUAUGGCUGUCAUCGCCCCGUGGACAGAACCCUUCUUGGCCCACCUAAUCAGGCAAGAACUCCCUUAGGACCCAAACGAGGCACGCUGCAUUGUACGGCGGUCUAAAGCCUACAAGGUUCACAAGGGAGAGCUUUAUAAAAAAAGCGCUACCGAAGUACUUCAAAGAUGCAUCUCCGAAGAGGAAGGACGGCAUCUUUUGGCAGAAAUUCAUGCUGGACUUGGCGUCCACCACGCCGCAGCUCGGGCCCUUGUAAGCAAGGCCUUCCGUACUGGUUUUUACUGGCCGACGGCCCGAGCAGACGCACAUGACCUCGUUCAACGUUGCGUCGGUUGCCAGCUUUUCGCAAACCAAAGCCAUAUGCCACCUACCACUCUCCAAACAAUCCCCAUUACUUGGCCCUUUGCGGUCUGGGGGCUUGAUAUGGUCGGACCCCUUAAAGGGGGAAGCCAUAAGAAAAAAUACCUAUUGGUCAUGGUGGAUAAAUUCACCAAAUGGAUAGAAGCCAAACCAGUUAAAACGGCCGAAUCCGGACCAGUGAUAGACUUCAUAUCCGGGGUUGUACACCGUUACGGCGUCCCCCACAACAUCAUCAAAGAUAACGGCUCCAACUUUACAGCCGACGAGGUAAAAACUUGGUGCGGCAACAUGGGCAUUAAGCUCGAUUAUGCCUCUGUCUAUCACCCCUAAACAAACGGUCAGGUUGAGCGGGCAAAUGGUCUCAUUAUGAGCGGCAUUAAACCCAGACUAGUGCGAUCCUUGAAGGAAUCAGAUACACACUGGGUCGAGGAGCUCGACUCCGUACUAUGGGGGCUGUGGACCACGCCAAAUCGCACUACCGGAUACACACCGUUCUUUAUGGUGUACGGCGCAGAGGCGGUACUGCCCUGCGACAUAAUUCAUGACUCACCUCGAGUGCGCAUGUAUGAAGAGAAAGAAGCCGAGCUUGAUCGGCAGGACAGUUUGGACGCCCUGGAGGAGGAGUGAGACGUGGCAAAAGCCCGCUCUGCAUUCUAUCAGCAACAGGCUCGACGGUAUCAAAGCAGAGAAGUACGGGCCAAAACUUAUAACGUUGGCGAACUAGUUCUAUGCCUACCGGAGAAGAAAAAGAACAAGCUCAAGCCCAAAUGGGAAGGUCCCUUCGUUAUCGACCAAGUUCUGACCGGCGGAGCAUACCGUCUGCGGGAUGCAUCGGACAAUCGACUCGAGCCAAACCCAUGGAACACAGCCAGACUCCGAAGGUUCUAUGCCUAGUGCCGGACUAUGUGUUCGUCUCCUUACCUCCGUCAAUUUUUUUAUAUAUCUGUUAUCUGUCUUUUCUUUCUUUCUUUCUUCCCUUUUUCUUCACAACCUUAAAAGGUUAAAAUGUGUCUUGACUACACAAUCUUGACGCGCUAGGCGUGCUCAUUAUACCUGGGGGCUUCUUAUAUAGAAGCCUAAUAUAAUUAUGUUCCGGGCUUUAUGCCCCCGCACAUGUGUUACUUUUCCACAUGUACCUUUUCUUCGCCAUUAUAUGCAUCGAUAUGACUUAAGUUUUGGCCAAGCUGGGUUGCCUGGCUCUUGUGUUUAUGCCAUACGUUCCCGUUAAUUCGGCUAGGGCAUAAGGGGAGCACCUCUGUGAUUGUUACUGCCGGGUCAGCCGGAUGUGUACUUCAGACUGGGUGAAGCCGAAAGCUAGCGUUCUUAAGAGAAUAUUCGUUCGGUGAACAAAAGAUGACUUUUACUUAUUGUAAUACAUGCCCCAGAUGUUUAUAUCCUGGAUCUCUUUUCACAGUUCGGACAUGCACAUUAAUGCAUGCGUACCUAGGGAAAGGAACCCUUAACGGAACUAUUCUCCCUAGAAGAUGUUUCUUACUAUCCAUGUAAUAUAACAUAGCUAGUUGGGUACUUGUCUGUUCAAGCACUUAUGACCCCUACGCCUGGUUUCCACGCGUACCCUGGUUUUUACAUAACUGAGCGGGUAUUCGGAUACACUCCGGACUGUCGGGUCCGGAGGUCGAAGUGAAAAGGUCCGCCAUGACAAAUGAUUUACAAUCCGGCUAGGGACAAAAUAUGUCAUUUGAAGUACACAUUCACUUAGACUGACUAAAUUCUUCUUCUAUACCAUCCAACAGGCUGUCUAGCCUACAAUCCUGUUGGGAAUACUUUGCGGCUAAUUUUACCUGGUCAUAUACUAGACUAACGGGGAUCUCUUUCCCAUCAGGCCCUACAGGUCCGACCUCGGCCAUGUGGUUCGGGUCAGCCUUGGUAUAUCGUGUCUUCACCAUGGCCCAGGCUUCCCUUGCACCUUGUCGGCAGGCCGAUAUCUUCCAUAAUCGGAAGCGCCGCCGCGCUCCCUUGAGCAUCUCUACGAGCUCCCCAUGCCUCCUGGCAGGGAGGCGGAUGGCCACAAGGCCUGGGCAAUGCCCUGCAUCACCUACCGAACUUGUUCGUGCAGUUGUGAGAGCUCUUGCAGAAGAUCGCCUGCAGAUCCGGGCAUCUCCUCUUCGGGACGACCCGUCAGCAUACCUACAGAUAUAACUCUAUUAGCCGGUUUCUUUGCCGAACUCUAUAAAAGUUCAUUCAAGCACUUACUAAAUAUGUCGCGUCGAAGCCUCUUAUUCUCCUUUACGGAGUUAGCAAGCUGGGCCUGAACAUCUUUCAGUUCAACGCCCAACAGGGUAUUGGCAUCUUGGAGAUCGUUUUUCUCCCGCCUAACCCGUGUAAGCACGCGCUCGCCAGCCUCUAGCUGUCGUUGAGCAUGUUGCUCAUCCCCUCGAACGAUCUUCGGAUUCACUCCGGGAUUAUCUGCAGAAUCUAUUGUUAGAUUUGCAUGCAUGCCGAAUACUAACUGGUACAUGUCAUUUCAUUCUCGAUCACGGCAAGUAUUACCAGAUGCGGCCUUCUGGGACUCCUCCAUUCCAGCAACUGCGGCCCGUAGCUGGGCUUUGCAUUCCUCCAGCUCUUGAGACAACUGGGUAUUCUUCUCCGUAAGAACCUACGCAUAUAAUGAUCCUUAAAUCAGUUGUGCCAACUGUUUCAAGUCUCAGGGGCUACUGGUAUACAUAAUUAUCAGAUUUUCUUACCCGUAUAUCUUUUACAUACUGGUCCGUCGCUCUGGCCAGGCCAUUUUGAGCAGCUCGGAUGUACGCGUCUCCUGAGUUGAAGGCAUCGAACGCCUCUUGAGAGAAACAAGUGUCGCGGAGUAUGGCCCGGCGACGCCUGUGAUUCAUGGCACUCUCCAAUUCGGAAUUCGUGGCGGACAGCCUAUCCGCAUCCUCUAUAGGAGGGACAUCCGGUGUUGGCUCCACGUUAGCGUCUGCCUCUAAGUCCGGCUCUGGAGCCCGGCUGGUAGAGGCGUGGCCGGCAGGCUCUCCGGAUAUAGUCCGGCGAGCGUUUUUUCUGCUAGGAAACAUGGACGUUGUUACGUUUUAAAAGACGACAACCACGGAGCGGGGUUCUUUUUCGUACCUCUGCGACGGCGUCUCAGUCCUGACCGCCUUCCUUUUAAGCCUACCCGGUUUCGGUGCCCCUUGUUGGUGAGUCACUGCGGGUUCAGCAUGGCAUCCCGAAGACCUUCCCUGUAAGACACCAUAUGUGUGCGGUAGGUGAAGUGCAAAAAAGGGAUCCUUCUCGGAAGUUGGGACUCCGGUUUUACUUACAUGCGACGCAGGGAGUAGUCCAAGAUAAUCGGCUAUGAUGGCCACCAAGGCACCGUCACGGAUUAAUUGAUAGAACGUCCUGUCGAUGAGCUCCACAAAUGUGUCCGGAUCUUCUUCGAGUUCGGGGUCGAGGGCCCGGUCAGGGUCCUCUGGUUGUGGAGGCGGGCUGUGGACCUCCCUCACAGCUUUUCGCAGUUCCUGCUAUGAAAUAGCAAGGUAAAUACCUAUGACGAAAAAUGCGGGAAGGUUAGGAGUAAAAGGUAGCAGCUCACCCAGCUUGGGGGCGGGGUGUACAUGGAGAAUCCAUCCCGUGGCUUAAUGCGGAUGAACUCCUCUUCCUCUCCUUUAUAUAAAUCGGACAGUAUUUUCGCUAAAGCAGCGACGGAGUCCGGUCCCUUACGACCGCAGCGGGUGGCAUCGUCUUCUCCAUUGAAGUGCCACAUGGGUUGUCCCCGAUACUGAAGUGGCUGCACCCCCCGCAUUAUACAUAUCGACAUAACCUCGAUUUUUGUCAAUCCUGAUUUGGCCAGCGUUUUUAUCCGGUCCAUCAGGUAAAGGACUUCUCCAUUAUCUUCCUCCCGGGGGCUCCGAGGGCGCCAGCUGCGGCGUUUCUUCAAAGGGGCGUUACUAAACUCAGGAAGGCCCAUCCGAAUAGGGUCCGGAAGGGGGACGUCCUCCAUAUAAAACCACUUUGAAGGCCAGUCUUCGGACGUCUUCUUCGGAGUACCGGACAGGUAUCCGGCCCCGGCGAUGCGCCAUAUCUCGGCUCCGCCCACUUGAUAUAUUGACCCCUCCCGUGUAUGGGGUACGAGGCAGAAUAGCCUCUUCCAUAGCUCGAAAUGAGCUUCGCAGCCCAAAAACAGCUCGCAAAGGGCGACGUAGCCAGCGAUGUGUAAAAUGGAGGCGGGAGUAAGGUUAUGCAACAGGAGGCCGUAGAACUCCAGGAGUCCGCGGAGGAAUGGAUGGAUUGGAAAUCCGAGUCCCCUCAAUAAAUAAGGGACAAGGCAUACCCGCUCCCCCAUGGAUGGGUUGGGAAAGCUCUCUGCUUGCUCCCCGCCAUUGUAAGUGGCUAAUCCGGCUCGGACGGGGACCAUAUACGCAGGAAGGAGAAACCCCUGGGUCUGUAACUCCACUAAUUGGCUGUGGGGAACGGAACACUUCUUCCAAUUGCCCGGCUUGGGGCUACGGGAGCGAGAGGAGGAGCUGCGAUGGCCGGCCAAGAUGGGAUGGAUUUUUUUGGGCGCUCUCCGAUGGAUGCUCGCUGUGGGAGAAUGGUGUGAUCUGGAUCUGACGAUCCCCAUCUCUUUAAAUAGACGGUUUACUUACAUGGUUAGGGUGGCAAGUGUAAAAUGCACCGACUUCUCGCAUUCGCUCGACACGUGGAGGAUAGCCAUUAUUAGGCGCAGAAGCCGAGGAGUGCAACAUUCAUGGGAAGCCAGACACUACUCGACAGGUACUCAGAAUUUGGAGAAGAACCCGCCUUGCAAUGCCGAAGACAAUCUGCGCGCCGGACUCAUCGUCAUUGAAGCCUGGUUCGGGGGCUACUGAGGGAGUCCUGGAUUAGGGGGUCCUCGGACAGCCGGACUAUAUCCUUUGGCCGGACUGUUGGACUAUGAAGAUACAAGAUUGAAGACUUCGUCUCGUGUCCGGAUGGGACUCUCCUUGGCGUGGAAGGCAAGCUUGGCAAUUCGGAUAUGUAGAUCUCCUCCCUUGUAACCGACUCUGUGUAACCCUAGCCCCCUCCGGUGUCUAUAUAAACUGGAGGGUUUAGUCCGUAGGACAACAACAAUCAUAAUCAUAGGCUAGCUUCUAGGGUUUAGCCUCUACGAUCUCGUGGUAGAUCAACUCUUGUAAUACUCAUAUCAUCAAGAUCAAUCAAGCAGGAAGUAGGGUAUUACCUCCAUCGAGAGGGCCCGAACCUGGGUAAACAUUGUGUCCCCCGCCUCCUGUUAUCAUCCGCCUUAGACGCACAGUUCGGGACCCCCUACCCGAGAUCUGCCGGUUUUGACACCGACACUAGCCUUAAGCCUGUAUUAAGUAGGAAUACUGCUUGUGCAUCAAAAACCUUAAACCAAAGUUAUUCCUGAUGAGUCCACCAUAUCCACCUAUAUGCGGUAUUACCCUGCCGUUCUAAGUAAAUUUGCAUGUGCCACCUCUAAACACUUCAAAUAAACAUCUAUUUUUGUGUGCCUAGAUUGUUCAUUGAGCUACAGGGGGUAGUCGGUGAGGGAGUCCUAGAUAAGGGGGUCCUCGGGCGUCCGGGCUAUGUGACAUGGGUCGGACUGAUGGGCCGUGAAGAUACAAGAUAGAAGGCUUUCCCCCGUGUCCGGAUGGGAGUCUCCAUGGCGUGGACAGCAAGCUUGGCGGCCAAACGUGUAGUUUCCUUUCUCUGUAAACCGACUCUGUACAAUCCUAGCCCCCUCCGUGUCUAUAUAAACUGGAGGGUUUAGUCCGUAGAGGCAAUCACAAAUCAUACAGGCUAGACAUCUAGGGUUUAGCCAUUACGAUCUCGAGGUAGAUCAACUCUUGUAACCCCUAUACUCCACGAAGUCAAUCAAGCAUGAAGUAGGGUAUUACCUCCAUUAAGAGGGCCCGAACCUGGGUAAACAUCGUGUCCCCCGUCUCUUGUUACCUUCGAUCCUCAGACGUACAGUUCGGGACCCCCUACCCGAGAUCAGCCGGUUUUGACACCGACAUUGGUGCUUUCAUUGAGACUUCCUCUGUGUCGUCAAUAGAAGGAUCGAUGGCUCGCCUUGUCGUUGACGACAAAAUCACCUCUGGAAGGGCCCUAGCUCCUGGGCAGAUCCUCCAGCUCGGCAGUUUUACCAUGGGCGCCCGCUCAGCCAGUAAGCUAGAGCCAGUCCCCCAAACUGCCAUGAAUCAUCUCCACAUUGGCCUCGGACACUCCGACAGGAUGGAUCCGGCAGAUGUCUCAUCUUUGAACGAACUGCUAGAUCGCAUCGCCGCCUUGGGGGUCACCAUAGACUAUGAUCGGAUCGGGCUUAAACCCGAUCAGAGGGAAAUCAGGUCCCCACCGAUCACCCAUUUGGUUGCGGUUGUGGAGGAGCAAGCCAAGGAUAACUCUCCCCCAAUGCUGAGAACAAGCUAUGUUCGGAUUUCGGAGCCCUACGAGCCGAAUACCCAUCUUCGGGAAGAGACUCCCUGUCCUCCGAACAUAGAACCAGACAUCGAGCCUGAAAACUCCCAGGAUACUCCGGAUCCUGGGCUAGUAACCUCAGAAAUUCUUAAAACUCCGGAUCCCACGGUGGGUCAGGGUUCGGAUUUAAGCCCGCCCACCCACCACAAGAAAUAUUUCCGAAGCAAUUCUGGUCCUCCGGACACAUACGACCUAAUGUAUGUACAACAGCAACCUCAGGAAACAGUCCAUCACUUUUGGGCCAAAUUCCUCCUUGUUAAAAACAAGAUCAAAGAUUGCUGCGACGUCGACACGGUUUCAGUAUUUUGCCGCAACUGUACGGACGAGGGGAUCCUCAAUGCCCUCAACCAACAUCGCAUACUGCACUUUGCAGAUUUGGCACACAUAGUACAGAAAUAUUACGCCAUGGAAAGCGCCUGGAAAGCCCAAACAGCUCGGUGGGAACCGCCGGCCUUUAAGCCGCCCACCGGACGGACAAAAAGGAUGCACCCCCACAGGGCACCUGAUCAUCACCCUAUGGACAAGAAAAUUAAGCCCUUAACGGGACACAGAAUUUUCCUUGAUGAAUGGCUUGACAAGCCCUGUCGGAUACACACGACGCCGAAUUCCGAACCAACACACAGCCUUCGGUCAUGUUGGGUACUCCGACAGGUAGCCAAGAGCGGUGAGGCUAUCCUCACCAAUACAAACUCCGAGAAAUACCCUCCGGAGGACGACGAUCUCAAUGUCUUUACGGUCUUCGAGACCUUUUCUUCAAAUAAUCGGCGUAAAAGGGCACUCCGCGACCUCGCCGAAGUCAACCAAGUAGCCGCAGUAAACCCUUGGAACGAUACGGCGAUAACUUUCACUGCCAACGACGAACCAAGAGCUCGAUCAGUCCGCGCACCAGCCGCUUUGGUCUUAAAUCCAAUCGUCAACGGCUUUCGGCUCGCCAAAGUACUCAUGGACAGCGGCAGCGGACCGAACCUCAUCUACAAGGACACACUUGAGAAAAUGCAAAUAGACAAGAGCCGCAUCAAGCAGAGCAGUACAACCUUUCAAGGCAUUAUCCCCAGUCGAGAAGCGCGAUGCUCGGGGAAAAUUAAACUUGAUGUGGUAUUCGGCACGCCGGAGAACUAUAGGUCCGAAGAGUUAAUCUUCCAUGUGGCACCUUUCAACAGCGGAUAUCAUGCCCUGUGGGGGCGAGACGCAUUCACAAUAUUUCAAGCCAUACCCCAUUACGGGUAUAUGAAGCUCAAAAUGCCCGGGCCCAACGGAGUUAUCACUAUCACCAGUGAUCCGGACAUAGCACUUCGCACCAAAAACAAAACCGCAUCCCUGGCCCUCGAGGCAUUAUCUGAGGCCCUUGCGGCCGAGGAGCUCACCGCUCUGCAUUCCAUAGUGGAUAGAGACGAUGUAAUCCUUGACAAAAGGCCUAAGUCCACUUCUUUCAAGCCAACAGACAAAAUAGUCAAAUUCCAAGUUCACUCGACGGAUCCUAAUAAAACAACAGCCAUUGGAGCACAGCUGGAUCCGAUGGUCGACGCCGCUCUAAGAGCAUUCCUGCGCGAGAAUUGGGACAUCUUUGCUUGGCAUCAUUCGGAUAUGCCAAGAAUCCCACGCAGACUGUCCGAACACAGCCUCAACAUAAUAAAGGGGUUUAAGCCAGUUAAGCAAACGCUGCGGCGAUUUUCCGAACCCAAGCGACAAGCUAUGGGGAGGAGCUAGCCAAACUAUUUGAAGCCAGGUUCAUUAGAGAGAUAAAACACCCAAAUUGGCUAGCCAACCUGGUCAUGGUGCCAAAGAAGGACAAAUCCUGGCGCCUUUGUGUCGAUUUCAAAGACCUCAACAAGGCCUGCCCUAAGGACCCCUUCCCACUGCCCCGCAUUGACCAAAUCAUUGAUGCAACUGCAGGACACGAUUCACUGUGCUUCCUCGAUGCAUACUCCGGAUAUUACCAGAUUAAGAUGAAAGAAUCUGAUCAGGCCGCAACGACAUUCAUUACUCUGUACGGGCCUUUCUACUUCAACACAAUGCCUUUCGGACUCAAAAAUGCCGGCGCCACUUACCAACGCAUGAUUCAAACAUGCCUCGAAAAACAAAUUGGCAAGACGGUGGAGGCAUAUGUAGAUGAUGUAGUCAUCAAAACUAAACAUGUCGAAUCAUUGGUGGACGACUUACGCCUUACAUUCGACAACCUCCGAACAUAUGACAUACGGCUCAAUCCGAAAAACUGCAUUUUCGGUGUUCCGGCCGGAAAGUUGCUCGGGUUCAUCAUCUCCAGUAGAGGAAUCAAAGCAAAUCCGGCCAAAAUCCGAGCCCUGUCACAGUUGGCAAUACCAACAGACCUAAAACAGGUCCAAAACCUAGCUGGGUGUGUGGCAGCCUUGAGCCACUUUAUCUCCAGAUUGGGAGAGAAGGCGCUGCCGCUAUAUCGCCUGCUCCGACGUACCGACCACUUUGAGUGGACGGACGGGGCAACAGCCGGGUUGGAAGAAAUAAAAACUUUGUUAGCAAACAACCCAAUCCUUGCCGCACCUAACGUCGGCGAACCUGUGCUGCUGUACAUAUCUGCAACUCACCAGGUGGUGAGCGCUGUGCUUGUCGUGGAACGAGAGGAAGAGGGACACAAAUUCCCACUCCAAAAACUAGUAUAUUAUGUAUUGGUGGUUCUCACACCAUGCAAAUCCCGAUACCCGCAUUAUCAAAAGAUAGCAUAUGCGGUUUUUAUGGCAUCUCGGAAGCUGCAACACUACUUUCAAGAGUGCUCGAUCACGGUGGCCUCCGAAGUACCACUCAAUGACAUCAUAAACAAUCGAGACGCCACCGGACACAUUGCAAAAUGGGCUAUCGAGCUCUUACCAUUUGAAAUAACAUAGAAGCCACGCCGAGCUAUUAAAUCUCAGUUGUUGGCCGACUUUGUCGCCGAGUGGACAAAAGCCGAACUCCCUAAAGAGUACGACACAUACUCCAACUGGGUGAUGUACUUCGACGGCUCUAAAAUGUUAGCCGGACUGGAGGCUGGUGUCAUCCUAACAUCCUCUACAGGGGACACAGUCUGUUACAUAUGACAAAUCAUGUAUACGGGCUCCAAUAACGCAGCCGAAUAUGAGGCACUACUGCAUGGUCUUCGGAUGGCUGUUUCUAUGGGCAUACAACGCCUCGAGGUGCGGGGGGACUCGAACCUCGCAAUAUCCCAAAUAAAUGGAGAAUUCGAUGCAAAAGACCCAAAGAUGGUGGCUUAUCGCAACGUCGUACUCAAAAUAUCGGCUCGGUUUGAGGGGCUCGAGUUUCAUCAUGUGGCCCGAGACAGUAAUCAAGCAGCGGAUAUCCUUGCUCGAAUGGGCGCUAAACGCAACCCCGUCCCGCCUAACACCUUCGUGGAAAAGGCUUUUCAAGCCAUCCGUGGUAUGGCAGGAUGAGAGCGGAAAUACCAGUCCGCUGCCGAUCACACCACGGAUGCCGAACAUGAUUCGGAUAUCAUCGGGGGCUCGGGCACCGAACCAACGCCUUCCGCCCAUGAAAUCAUGGCGGUGAUCGCCCCAUGGACCGAACCCUUCUUAGCCUACCUCAAUAGGCAGGAGCUCCGUGAUGACCAGAACGAGGUCCGUCGCAUAGUUCGACGCUCCAAAGCCUACAAAGUUCAUGAAGGAGAACUCUACAAGAAAAGUACUACCGGAGUCCUUCAAAUAUGUAUCUUCGAAGAGGAGGGACGACAGCUCUUGGCCGAAAUACAUGCUGGUCUUGGUGGCCAUCACGCCGCAGCUCGGGCCCUUAUAAGUAAGGCCUUCCGUACGGGUUUCUUUUGGCCCACGGCCCAAGCAGAUGCACAAGACGUCGUAUAAUGUUGUGUCGGAUGCCAACUUUUUGCCAAUCAAAGCCAUAUGCCGCCCACUGCCUUACGAACAGUCCCCAUUACUUGGCCUUUCGCGGUCUGGGGGCUGGACAUGGUCGGAUCCCUUAAAGGGGGAAGCCAUAAGAAAAAAAUACUUGCUGGUUAUGGUAGAUAAAUUCACUAAGUGGAUAGAGGCCAAACUAGUUAAAACGGCGGAAGCCGGACCGGUGAUAGACUUUAUAUCCGGUGUCAUACACCGUUAUGGUGUCCCACAUAGCAUUAUUACCGAUAACGGCUCUAAUUUCAUAGCCGAUGAGGUGAAAAAUUGGUGUGCUAAUCUAGGCAUUAAACUUGAUUACGCCUCCGUGUAUCACCCCCAAACAAAUGGUCAAGUUGAACGGGCCAAUGGCCUGAUAAUGAGAGGCAUCAAACCCAGACUAGUGCGGUCGUCGGAUAAACACUGGGUCGAGGAGCUCGACUCCGUCCUCUGGGGGCUGCGAACCACGCCCAAUCGCACGACCGGAUACACACCUUUCUUCAUGGUGUACGGCGCAGAGGCUGUCUUGCCCUGCGAUAUUAUUCAUGACUCACCUCAAGUGCACAUGUAUGAGGAGAGAGAGAGGCCGAUCUCAAUCGGUAGGACGACUUAGAUGGCCUAGAGGAGGAGCGUGAUGUUGCAAAAGCCCAUUCCGCAUUCUACCAACAACAAGCUCGAAGAUACCAAAGCAGAGAAGUGCGGGCAAAGACUUAUAAUGUCGGUGAACUCGUUCUACGCCUACCAGAGAAGAAAAAGGACAAGCUCAAGCCCAAAUGGGAAGGUCCCUUCAUUAUAGAUGAAGUUCUCACUGGAGGAGCCUAUCGCCUUCGCAAUGCAUCAGAUAAUCGCUUAGAGCCAAACCCAUGGACCGCUGCUCGACUCCGAAGAUUCUACGCCUAAGUCCGGAUACAUACCUUUGUUCGUUCCCUUUUUCUCCUUUUUUAGUUAUUUCCCUUUUUUUGUUUUUUAUAAUUUCUAGCAUGUGUUCGGGUAAGCCGCACACUUGAGGGGUAUGCAUCCUUAAAUGUACACACCCAUCAUAACUGGGGGCUUCUCUCAAUAGAAGCUUAUCAUUUUGAGCAUAUAGCUCACCAUAUAUAUGUGUUAUUUGCCCACAUACGUCCCGUCUUCGCCAUUAUAUGCACCUCUAUGACUUAACUUUUUGCCAACCUGGGUUGCCUGGCUCCUGUGCUUAUGCCCUACAUUCCCGCUUGUUCGACUAGGGUAUAAAGGGAGCACCUCUGUGAUUGUUACAACCGGGUCAUCCAGACAUGUACCUCAGACGGGUGAAGCCGAAAGCUAGCGUUCUUAAGGGAAUAAUUGGUCGGCGGACAAACGAUGAACUGCCUUCAUUGCAAUAUAAACUAUCAAAAUACAAAGACUCCUGUGAUUCUUUCGCAUCACGUAGGCAUGCAUACACAAUGCAUGCUGACCCAGGGAGAGAAACCCUUAAAGGAACUAUUCUCUCUGGAAGAUGUUUCUUACGUUAAAAAGUAAUAUAACAUAACUCCCCGAAUACAGUUUGUCUGUUCAAGUACUAUGGCCGGAUUGCCUGGUUUCCGAACAUACUUGGUGUUUCCCACAGGUAUAUUAUUCAGAAACACUCCAACCCUUGGGUUUCGGAGGUCGAAGCGGGCGGUCUGCCAUGACAAUCUUUUACAAUUCGGCCGGAGAUAAGUUUGAUGAUAAAAGUGUAUUGUUACAUGAAAUCACACACCUACUCUUUCUCUAUGCCAUCUAUCAGGCUGUCUAGUAUACAGUCCUGCUGUGAAAAUUUGGCGGCUAUCUUUACUUGGUCAUACACCAAGCUAACCGGAAUUUCUUGUCCGCCCGGUCCCCGAGGUCCGACCCGGGCCAUAUGAUUUGGAUCAAGUCUGGUAUACUGCGUUUUCACCAUGGCCCAGGCUUCUCGUGCACCUUCUCGACAUGCUGAUGCCUUCCAUAGCUCAAAAAAAGACGAGCUCCCUUGAAUAAAUUCGCGAGCUCCCCCAUCAUUCCUGGAGGAGAAUCGGAUGGCCAUAAAGCCCUAGCCAUGUUCCUCAUUGCUUUCCGAGCUCGCUCGUGCACUUUGGAUAGCUCUUCCAGCAAGUCGCCUUGAAAUACAGACACUUCUCCCUCGGGCCGCCCAGUUAACAAACCUAUAGGAACAAAUCUCCUAAAAAAAUUCCAUUAGGGGAUCUUAUGAAAGUUAGGUUCAGGGACAUACUAAAUAUGUCGCCUUUCAGCUUUCUGUUCUCCUUCAAGGCAUCGGACAGUUGGGCUCUUACGUCCUUUAACUCUUCGGCUUGCUUGAUGUUGGCAUCCUAUAGUUUGUUCUUCUCAUUAAUGGUCCGUGUUAAUACACGUUGACCAGCGGCUUCUUGCCCUUCGACAUGUUGUUUGUCCGCCUGAGCAGCCUUUAGCCUCUCCUCCAACUGAUCUACCAAUCCUGCUGCCGUAAACAAAACAAUGAAUAUUAACAAACCAUUGUUAGCACAAAAUUGUAUUUCCCGGACACUGCUGUGCUUACCAUCCGGUGCCUUCUUGGAUUUCUUCAAAUUUUCCAGUUCGGCGGUGACAACAAUUAACUUAGUCCGACAUUCUUCAAGCUCCUUGGACAAUGUGUUAUUUUUCGCCAUGAGUACCUGAUAAUCUCAACGACCCUUAAAUCAGUUGGGCCAACUGCUUCAAUUCUCGGGGGCUACUGGCACAUGAUUAUUGAAUCUACACAGAAGUUCUUAGCCGCAUAUCCUUUGAAAGCUGGUGAGUGGCUCCGGCAAGUCCAUCCCGAGCAGCUCAGAUAUAUGCAUCCGCAGAGCUGAGGGCAUUGAACGCAUGUUCGGUAAAACUGGGGUCGCGCAUGGCCUCUUUUCGCCGCCGAUGAUUCAUCGCGCUCUCCACUUCGGAAUUGGUGACAGACACAUUAUUGAAUCCUCUUGGAGAUGACAAUCCGACAUUUUACCCGUAUCAACCCUAGUCCUUAUGGCAGGGUCCGGGGUCGGAUUGGUCGAUGCAUGGUCGGCGAGGUCCUCGGAUAUAGUCCGGCGUACGCUCUUCCUACAAAAUGGCCCGGCGAAAAACGUCACAAUUCGGUCUGGCCACCGAGUGCGUCUUAAAAACUAUACCUCUUUGGUGAAGGCGGGGGCUCGGUAGUAUCACCGUUUGCCCUUCUUUUCAAAGACUCGCCCUGCACGGGUGUCAACUUCUUAGAGGACACCUUUGAUACAGCUCGGCGAGACGAGCGCCGCCCCUUCGGAGCAUGAGACAGUGCGGUGGGUGAGGCGCAAUGGGAAAACUCUUUUGGAGGAGACGUCUCCUGGGUACUUACAUGGGAGGAGGGGAGAAGGUCGGGGUAAUCGGCUAUAAUAGCCACUUCCGUGCCAUCGUAGCUCGCCUGAUAAAAGACUCCCUCCUUAAGUUCUAUGAAUAUAUCCAGAUCUUCUUCAUAUCCAGGAUCCAGGUCUCGAACAUGGUCCUCCGGAUGCGGAGCGGGGCUGUAGACCCCCUCAACGACCUUUCUCCAUUCCUAUUAAAAGUAGCUGAAUCAAAUUCGACUAGCAUAACUCUGGAAAAAGGUUGAGUAAGGCCAAUAAUCAAAAAACUCACCCAGUCAAUGGGGUUAUACAUGGAAAAGCCUUCCCGACAUUUCAAGCGAGUGAAGUCUUCCUUCUCCCCUUUGAAAAGGUCAGCUAAGAUGGUGGCCAGGGCGGCAAAAUUGUCCAGACCCUUGCGUAGACAACGGGAUGCGUCGUCCUCCCCGUGGUAAUGCCACAUAGGAAAACCCCUAGAUUGGAGCGACUGAACGCAUCGCGUUAUUGAAAUUUCCAUUACCUCGAUUAUAGACAGCCCGGAGUCGGCAAGUACUCUGAUCUUGCUUGCUAGCCUCUCGACCUCCGCACUGUGUUCUUCCUCGAGGCUUCGGGGACGCCAGCUGGCGCGCUUCUUUAAGGGAGCGCUGGAGAAUUCGGGAAGCCGCGCCAGAUUGGGUCCGGCAGAACGACGUCUUCAAUAUAAAACCAUUCCGAGGGCCACUCUUCGGAUGCCUUCUUCGGAGUGCCGGAUAGGUAUCCUAUCCCGGCUAUGCGCCAUACUUCGGCGCCGCCCACCUCAAAUAUAGAUCCCUUUUGGGAGAGGGGGACGAGGCCGAAAAAUUUCCGCCAUAGCUCGAAAUGAGCCUCACAGCCUAGGAACAGCUCGCAAAGAGCAACGAAGCCUGCGAUAUGCAGGAUGGAUCCUGGCAUUAGAUUGUGCAGUUGGAGGCUGUAAUACUCCAGGAGACCUCUGAGGAAGGGGUAGAUAGGAAAUCCUACGCCCCUCAAAAGGAAGGAAACGAAGCACACCCGCUCCUCUUUAGAAGGAUUGGGGAAAUUCUCCGCCAAGGCCUCGCCAUUGUGGGAAGUUAAUCCAGCCCGAACGGAGACUAGAUCCGCAAGAGGAAGAUAUCCCUGCGUCUGAAAUUUAUUCAGAUGGGCGCGGGAUACUGAGCAGCUUUCCCAGUUGCCUUUUUGGAGGCCGUGGGGGCAUGAGGAAGAGCCAGGAGCGCCGGCCAUGUUUGGACAGUUUCCUAUGGUGAGUUCUAAGGAUUUCCGCAUGGUGUGGAAUUUCAUUUGAGAUCUAAUCUCCUUAAAUAGCCGCCUUCCUUGCGUGGUCGAGGGGUUAUUUGUAAAAAACACACCUAGACCGCUCACACUCAUUUGACACGUGGAAGCUGAGGUGACGACAACAAAGAAUCAAUAGAAUAUGAUAUUUAAUAUGGAGCCGGAUUAUCGUCAAACCGAAGUAUAAUGAAGAACCCGCCUUGCAAAGCCGAAGACAUAAAGUCGGAUACUACGUCGUCAUUGAAGGCAAGUUUGGGGGCUAUUGAGGGAGUCCUGGAUAAGGGGGUCCUCGGGCGUCCGAGCUAUGUGACAUGGGCCGGACUGAUGGGCCGUGAAGAUACAAGAUAGAAGGCUUUCCCCCAUGUACGGAUGGGACUCUCCGUGGCAUGAACAGCAACCUUGGCGGCCAGACACAUGUGGUUUCCUUUCUCUAUAUAAACCGACUCUGUACAACCCUAAACCCCUCCGGUGUCUAUAUAAACCGGAGGGUUUAGUCCGUAGAGGCAAUCACAAAUCAUACCGACUAGACAUCUAGGGUUUAGUGAUACGUCUCCAACGUAUCUAUAAUUUUUGAUUGUUCCAUGCUAUUAUAUUAUCCAUCUAGGAUGUUUUAUAUGCAUUUAUAUGCUAUUUUAUAUGAUUUUUGGGACUAACCUAUUAACCCAGAGCCCAGUGCCAGUUUCUAUUUUUUCCUUGUUUUUGAGUAUCGCAGAAAAGGAAAACCAAACGGAGUCCAAUUGACCUGAAAAUUGACAGAGCUUAUUUUUGGACCAGAAGAAGGCCACAGAGUCAAAGAGUUGGGCCAGAAGAGUCCCGGGCUGCCCAUGAGGGUGGAGGGCGCGCCCCCUGCCUCGUGGACAGCCCGGAGACCCCUUUGACUUGUUCCCAACACCAAAACCUCUUAUAUAUACAGAAACCCCCAGAACAUAACCUUGAUCGGGAGUUCCGCCGCCGCAAGCCUCUGUAGCCACCAAAAACCAAUCUAGACAUGUUCCGGCACCCUACCAGAGGGGGGAUCCCUCACCGGUGGCCAUCUUCAUCAUCCCGGCGCUCUCCAUGAUGAGGAGGGAGUAGUUCACCCUCGGGGCUGAGGGUAUGUACCAGUAGCUAUGUGUUUGAUCUCUCUCUCUCUCUCUCUCGUGUUCUUGAGGUGGUACGAUCUUGAUGUAUCACGAGCUUUUCUAUUAUAGUUGGAUCUUAUGAUGUUUCUCCCCCUCUACUCUCUUGUAGUGGAUUGAGUUUUCCCUUUGAAGUUAUCUUAUCAAAUUGAGUCUUUAAGGAUUUGAGAACACUUGAUGUAUGUCUUGUAUGUGCUUAUCUGUGGUGACAAUGGGAUAUCACGUGAUCUACUUGAUGUAUGUUUUGGUGAUCAACUUGCGGGUUCCGUGACUUUGUGAACUUAUGCAUAGGGGUUGGCACACGUUUUCGUCUUGACUCUCCGGUAGAAACUUUGGGGCACUCUUUGAAGUACUUUGUGUUGGUUGAAUAGAUGAAUCUGAGAUUGUGUGAUGCAUAUCGUAUAAUCAUACCCACGGAUACUUGAGGUGACAUUGGAGUAUCUAGGUGACAUUAGGGUUUUGGUUGAUUUGUGUCUUAAGGUGUUAUUCUAGUACGAACUCUAUGAUAGAUCGAACGGAAAGAAUAGCUUCAUGUUAUUUUACUACAGACUCUUGAAUAGAUCGAUCAGAAAGGAUAACUUUGAGGUGGUUUCGUACCCUACCAUAAUCUCUUUGUUUGUUCUCCUCUAUUAGUGAAUUUGGAGUGACUCUUUGUUGCAUGUUGAGGGAUUGUUAUAUGAUCUAAUUAUGUUAUUAUUGUUGAGAGAACUUGCACUAGUGAAAGUAUGAACCCUAGGCCUUGUUUCAACACAUUGCAAUACCGUUUACGCUCACUUUUAUCACUUGCUACCUUGCUGUUUUUAUAUUUUCAGAUUACAAAAACCUAUAUCUACCAUCCAUAUUGCACUUGUAUCACCAUCUCUUCGCCGAACUAGUGCACCUAUACAAUUUACCAUUGUAUUGGGUGUGUUGGGGACACAAGAGACUCUUUGUUAUUUGGUUGCAGGGUUGUUUGAGAGAGACCAUCUUCAACCUAUGCCUCCCACAAAUUGAUAAACCUUAGGUCAUCCACUUGAGGGAAAUUUGCUACUGUCCUACAAACCUCUGCACUUGGAGGCCCAACAACGUCUACAAGAAGAAGGUUGUGUAGUAGACAUCAAGCAGUUUCUGGCGCCGUUGCCGGGGAGGUGAGUGCUUGAAGGUAUAUAUUUAGAUCUUGCAAUCGAAUCUUUUAGUUUCUUGUUUUAUCACUAGUUUAGUUUAUAAAAUAAAACUACAAAAAAAUGGAAUUAAGGUUUCCUCGUAUGCUUCAUCUUUUUAAUGUCUUUCAUGAAAAUGAUGGAAAGGAAAAUUGUGCUCAAGUACUAGAAGAAGAAUUACAUAGAAUGCGUGGCAUAAAAUAUGUGAAUGAUGAGCAUGAUUGCAAUGUUGUUAGUAUGAAUUCUUUGAAUAUCCAUGAUGCUAAUAAUAUGCAAAUCCACAAGCUUGGGGAUGCUAUGUUUGAUGAAGAUGAUAUUUUUUGUCCCCCAUGUUUUGAUGAGCAAAUUUAGUAUGAUGAAAGCAUGCCUCCUAUUUAUGAUGAUUAUAUUGAUGAAAGUGGGUUUGGAAGAGUGUCAACUUUAGGAAGUAAUGAUCCCACUAUUUUGGAGGAUGUUGAAUAUUAUUGUGAUAAUUAUGAAAGUGGAUUUGGAGAGGUCAUGACUUUAUUUAGUGAUGAAUCCACUAUUUCGGAAGAGGUUCCAAUUGAUUAUGAGAACAAAGUUGUUACUUAUGGUGAUUAUUGUGAUGACUUGUAUGCUAUUAAGAAUAAUGAUAACCAUGAAACUUGUCAUCAUGAUUUUAGUUUUCAAUUGGAUUAUGCCUCACAUGAUAAUUAUUUUGUUGAGUUUGCUCCCACUAUUAUUCAUGAGAAGAAUUUUGCUUAUGUAGAGAGUAGUAAAUUUUCUAUGCUUGUAGAUCAUGAAAAGAAUGCUUUAGGUGCUGGUUAUAUUGUUGAAUUCAUUCAUGAUGCUACUGAAAAUUAUUAUGAUGGAGGAACAUAUGCUUGUAGGAAUUGCAAUAAUAUCAAGUUUCCUCUCUAUGUGCUUAAAGUUUUAAAGUUAUGCUUGUUUUGCCUUCCUAUGCUAGUUGAUUAUUAUUCCCAUAAAUGGUUUGCUCACAAAAUCCCUAUGCAUAGGAAGUGGGUUAGACUUAAAUGUUCUAGUCAUAUUCUUCAUGAUGCUCUCUUUAUGUUUCAAUUCUUAUCUUUUAUGUGAGCAUCAUUGAAAUCAUCAUGCCUAGCUAGGGGCGUUAAACGAUAGCGCUUGUUGGGAGGCAACCCAACUUUAUUUUUGUUUCUUGCUUUUUGGUUAUGUUUAGUAAUAAAUCUUUCAUCUAGCCUCUUUUUAGUUGUGGUUUUAUUGUUUUAAUUAGUGUUUGUGCCAAGUAGAACCUUUGGGAAGACUUGUGUGAAGUCUUUAUGAUCUUGCUGUAAAAAACAGAAACUUUAGCGCUCACGAGAUUAGCUGCCAUUUUUUUUACUGGAGAGUGAUUUUUGGUUGAUUCUUUUUGAAGAUGAUUAAUAUACAAAUUCCUCAGGUCCAACAAUUUAUUUCAGAAUUUUUGGAGUUCCAGAAGUAUACGUUUGACACAGAUUACUACAGUCUGUUCUGUUUUUGACAGAUUCUGUUUUCUAUGUGUUGUUUGCUUAUUUUGAUGAAUCUAUGAGUAGUAUCGGAGGGUAUGAACCAUAGAGAAGUUGGAAUACAUUAGAUAUUACACCAAUAUGAAUUUAGAAUGAGUUCACAACGGUACCUAAGUGGUGAUUUAUUUUCUUAUACUAACGGAGCUUACGAGUUUUCUGUUAAGUUUUGUGUUGUGAAGUUUUCAAGUUUUGGGUAAAGAUUCGAUGGACUAUGGAAUAAGGAGUGGCAAGAGCCUAAGCUUGGGGAUUCCCAAGGAACCCCAAGGUAAUAUUCAAGGACAACCAAGAGCCUAAACUUAGGGAUGCCCCGGAAGGCAUCCCCUCUUUCGUCUUCGUUCAUUGGUAACUUUACUUGGAGCUAUAUUUUUAUUCAGCACAUGAUAUGUGUUUUGCUUGGAGCGUCAUUUAAUUUUAUUUUGUUUUGCUUCCUGUUUGAAUAAAAUACCAAGAUCUGAAGUUCUUAAAUUUUAAAGAGUCUCCACAUAGUUGCAUAAUUAUUCAACUACUCAUUGAUCUUCACCUAUAUCUUUCGGAUUAGUUUGUCAUUUGCUCUAAGUGCUUCACUUAUAUCCUUUUAGAGCACGACAGUAGUUUUAUUUUAAAGAAAUACAUGAACUCUCAUGCUUCACUUAUAUUAUUUUGAGAGUCCUAAACAGCAUGGUAAUUUUCUUUGGUUAUGAAACUAGUCCUAAUAUGAUAGGCAUCCAAGAUGGGUAUAAUAAAAACUUUCAUAUAAAGUGCAUUGAAUACUAAGAGAAGUUUGAUACUUGAUAGUUGUUUUGAGAUAUAAAGGUGGUGAUAUUAGAGUCGUGCUAGUUGGGUAAUUAUGAAAUUGAGAAAUACUUGUGUUGAGGUUGGCAAGUCCCGUAGCAUGCACGUAUGGUAAACGUUGUGUGACAAAUUUGAAGCACGGAGUGUUAUUUGAUUGCUUUCCUUAUGUGUGGCGGUCGGGGAUGAGCAAUGGCCUUUUCCUACCAAUCUAUCCCCCUAGGGGCAUGUGUAGUAGUACUUUUCUUCGAGGGCUAAUAAACUUUUGCAAUAAGUAUAUGAGUUCUUUAUGACUAAUGUGAGUCCAUGGAUAUUACACACUCUCACCCUUCCAUCAUUGCUAGCCUCUUCGGUACCGUGCAUUCCCUUUCUCACGUUGAGAGUUGGUGCAAACUUCGCCGGUGCAUCCAAACCCCGUGAUACGAUACGCUCUAUCACAUAUAAACAUCCUUAUAUCUUCCUAAAAACAGCCACCAUACCUACCUAUUAUGGCAUUUCCAUAGCCAUUCCGUGAUAUAUUGCCAUGCAACUUUCCACCGUUCCGUUUAUUAUGACACGCAUCAUCAUUGUCAUAUUGCGUUGCAUGAUCAUGUAGUUGACAUCGUAUUUGUGGCAAAGCCACCUUCAUAAUUAUUUCAUACAUGUCACUCUUAAUUCAUUGCACAUCCCGGUACACCGCCGGAGGCAUUCACAUAGAGUCAUAUUUUGUUCUAAGUAUCGAGUUGUAAUUCUUGAGUUGUAAGUAAAUAAAAGUGUGAUGAUCAUCAUUAUUAGAGCAUUGUCCCAUGUGAGGAAAGGAUGAUGGAGACUAUGAUUCCCCCACAAGUCGGGAUGAGACUCCGGACGAAAGAAAAAUAAAAGAAAAGAAAAAGAGGCCAAAAAAAAGAGAAGGCCCAAACAAAAAAAAAAUAAAAGAAAAAAUGAGAUAAAAGGAGAGAAGGGACAAUGUUACUAUCCUUUUUCCACACUUGUGCUUCAAAGUAGCACCAUGAUCUUCAUGAUAGAGAGUCUCUUAUUUUGUCACUUUCAUAUACUAGUGGGAAUUUUUCAUUAUAGAACUUGGCUUGUAUAUUCCAAUGAUGGGCUUCCUCAAAAUGCCUUAGGUCUUCGUGAGCAAGAAAGUUGGAUGCACAAGCACUUAGUUUCUUUUGAUGAGCUUUCAUAUAUUUUUUAGCUCUAGUGCAUCCGUUGCAUGGCAAUCCCUACUCCUCGCAUUGACAUCAAUUGAUGGGCAUCUCCAUAGCCCGUUGAUUAGCCGCGUCAAUGCGAGACUUUCUUCUUUUUUGUCUUAUCACAUAACCCCUAUCAUCAUACUCUAUUCCACCCAUAGUGCUAUGUCCAUGGCUUGCGCUCAUGUAUUGCGUGAGGGUUGAAAAGGCUGAAGCGCGUUAAAAAGUAUGAACCAAUUGCUCAGCUUGUCAUUGGGGUUGUGCAUGAUGGGAGCAUUUUGUGUGACGAAAAUGAGGCAUGGCCAAACUAUACGAUUUUGUAGGGAUAAGCUUUCUUUGGCUAUGUAAUUUUGAUAAGACAUAAUUGCUUGCUUAGUAUGCUUGAAGUAUAAUUAUUUUUAUGUCAAUAUUAAACUUUUGUCUUGAAUCUUAUGGAUCUGAAUAUUCUUGCCACAAUAAAGAAGAUUAUAUUGAUGAUUAUGUUAGGUAGCAUUCCACAUCAAAAAUUGUGUUUUUAUCAUUUACCUACUCGAGGACGAGCAGGAAUUAAGCUUGGGGAUGCUUGAUACGUCUCCAACGUAUCUAUAACUUUUCAUUGUUCCAUGCUAUUAUAUUAUCCAUCUAGGAUGUUUUAUAUGCACUUAUAUGCUAUUUUAUAUGAUUUUUGGGACUAACCUAUUAACCCAGAGCCCAGUGCCAGUUUCUGUUUUUCCUUGUUUUUGAGUAUCGCAGAAAAGGAAAACCAAACGGAGUCCAAUUGACCUAAAAAUUGACGGAGCUUAUUUUUGGACCAGAAGAAGGCCACGGAGUCAAAUAGUUGGGACAGAAGAGUACCGGGCUGCGCACGAGGGUGGAGGGCGCGCCCACCCCCCUGGGCGCGCCCCUGCCUCGUGGAUAUCCCGGAGACCCCCUGACUUGUUCUCGACGCCAAAACCUCUUAUAUAUACAGAAACCCCCAGAACAUAACCUAGAUCAGGAGUUCCGCCACCGUAAGCCUAUGUAGCCACCGAAAACCAAUCUAGACCCGUUCCGGCACCCUACCAGAGGGAGGAUCCCUCAUCGGUGGCCAUCUUCAUCAUCCCGGCGCUCUCCAUGACGAGGAGGGAGUAGUUCACCCUUGGGGCUGAGGGUAUGUACCAGUAGCUAUGUGUUUGAUCUCUCUCUCUCUCUCUCUCUCUCUCUCUCUCGUGUUCUUGAGGUGGUACGAUCUUGAUGUAUCACGAGCUUUGCUAUUAUAGUUGGAUCUUAUGAUGUUUCUCCCCCUCUACUCUCUUAUAAUGGAUUGAGUUUUCCCUUUGAAGUUAUCUUAUCAGAUUGAGUCUUUAAGGAUUUGAGAACACUUGAUGUAUGUCUUGCAUGUGCUUAUCUGUGGUGACAAUGGGAUAUCACGCGAUCUACUUGAUGUAUGUUUUGGUGAUCAACUUGCAGGUUCCGUGACUUUGUGAACUUAUGCAUAGGGGUUGGCACACAUUUUCGUCUUGACUCUCCGGUAGAAACUUUGGGGCACUCUUUGAAGUACUUUGUGUUGGUUGAAUAGAUGAAUCUGAGAUUGUGUGAUGCAUAUCGUAUAAUCAUAGCCACGGAUACUUGAGGUGACAUUGGAGUAUCUAGGUGACAUUAGGGUUUUGGUUGAUUUGUGUCUUAAGGUGUUAUUCUAGUAUGAACUCUAUGAUAGAUCGAACGGAAAGAAUAGCUUCAUGUUAUUUUACUACGGACUCUUGAAUAGAUCGAUUAGAAAGGAUAACUUUGAGGUGGUUUCGUACCCUACCAUAAUCUCUUCGUUUGUUCUCCUCUAUUAGUGACUUUGGAGUGACUCUUUGUUGCAUGUUGAGGGAUUGUUAUAUGAUCUAAUUAUGUUAUUAUUGUUGAGAGAACUUGCACUAGUGAAAGUAUGAACCCUAGGCCUUGUUUCCUAGCAUUGCAAUACUGUUUACGCUCACUUUUAUCACUUGCUACCUUGCUGUUUUUAUAUUUUCAGAUUACAAAAACCUAUAUCUACCAUCCAUAUUGCACUUGUAUCACCAUCUCUUCGCUGAACUAGUGCACCUAUAUAAUUUACCAUUGUAUUGGGUGUGUCGGGGAGACAAGAGAUCUUUGUUAUUUGGUUGCAGGGUUGUUUGAGAGAGACCAUCUUCAACCUACGCCUCCCACGGAUAAACCUUAGGUCAUCCACUUGAGGGAAAUUUUCUACUGUCCUACAAACCUCUGCACUUGGAGGCCCAACAACGUCUACAAGAAGAAGGUUGUGUAGUAGACAUCAUUUAGCCAUUACGAUCUCGAGGUAGAUCAACUCUUGUAACCCCUAUACUCAUCAAAGUCAAUCAAGCAGGAAGUAGGGUAUUACCUCCAUUAAGAGGGCCCGAACCUGGGUAAACAUCGUGUCCCCCGUCUCCUGUUACCUUCGAUCCUCAGACGUACAGUUCGGGACCCCCUACCCGAGAUUAUCCAGUUUUGGCACCGACAGUCGGUAUCUCCCAUGCUAAGCGGGUUAUUCUCAUGAUGAGUGUUUAUUCACUCGCCCUUGCAUGAGAGGGGCGGUAAUAAGGAUUCCCAGUCCCGAAAUAAAAAAUUGCAAAUAAUUAAACAAAACUCCCCCAGGAUUGUUGGUAUGGACGGUACCCGUGGAUUUGGCUAGCCGUGGAGUGUGUUUGUUGGUGGAGGGGGAGUAAACCUUUACUUUUAUCGCUUGGGAACCGCCACUAAUGUGUUUAGCAUGGAAGAUAUUGAUAAAUUUUGGUCAUGACGUAAACAUGAAGCGUGCAUUUCCCAAAAUUUCAUUUAUCUCUAUUUUUAGAACUUUGAGCUCUGGCACCUCUGCAAAUCCCUACUUCCCUCUGUGAAGGGACUAUCUGUUUAAUUUGAUGUUGAGUCAUCACCUUCUCAAAUAAGCGCUAGAUCCGAGAGCACUAUUGUCAUCCUCAUGCAUUGUGUAUAGUUAAUGUUGGAUGCAUCAUGACUGGAUCUUUUCUACCAUGAAUUACAAUUUUUAAUCGCUGCUUGAACUUUGGAGGUGCUCUGCAUUUAUGUUUUGCGGUCUCAGAAAGGGCUAGCGAGAUACCACUGUUGUCAUAUUAUAUCAGGAUUGUCUUGAAAAAGUGUUGGCAUUUGAUAUAUCUUAUUACUGCUCUCUAGUUGAUUAUGCCAUUGAUAUGAGUUAAUAUAAUUUUUCAGAGUUAUUGCUGACAUGGUUAGUGCUACCUCUUGAGCUUGUGUUGGUUUUUCCCUUGAAGAGGAAGGGUGAUGCAACAAAGUAGAGUAAGUAUUUCCAUCAGCUUUUGAGAACCAAGGUAUCAAUCCAGUAGGAGACAACGCAACAAGCCACCGAAUACCACAAACAAACGCCAACUUGCACCCAACACGACAAAGGGGUUGUCAAUCCCUUCACGGUUAUUUGCAAAGUGAGAUCUGAUAUAGAUGGAUAAACGGUAAAUUAAUAUUUUUGAUAUUUUUGGUUUAUGAAACGGAAAGUAAAAGAUUGCAAAGAAUGUAAAUAGGAAACUAUAUUUGUAGAUCAGAAACUUAUAUGAUGGAAACUAGACCUAGGGGCCAUAGGUUUCACUAGAGGCUUCUCUCAAGAUAGAAAAUAUUACGGUGGGUGAACAAAUUACUGCUGAGCAAUUGAUAGAAAAGCGCAUCUAAGGCAAUGAUAAUGAAUAUAGGCAUCAUGUCCAUGUCAAGUAGACCGAAACGACUCUGCAUCUACUACUAUUACUCCACACAUCGACCGACUGCUGCCUGCAUCUAGAGUAUUAAGUUCAUAAGAACAGAGUAAUGCAUUAAGUAAGAUGACAUGAUGUAGCUGGAUUAACUCAAGAAAUAUGAUGAAAACCCCAUCUUGUUAUCCUCGAUGGCAACAAUACAAUACAUGCCUUCCCCUACUAUCACUGGGAAAGGACACCGCAAGAUUGAAUCCAAAGCUAAGCACUUCUCCCAUUGCAAGAAAAACCAAUCUAGUUGGUCAAACCAAAUCGAUAGUUCGAAGAGACUUGCAAAGAUAUCAAAUCAUGCAUAUAAGAAUUCAGAGGAGAUUCAAAUAAUAUUCAUAGAUAAGCUGAUCAUAAAUCCACAAUUCAUCGGAUCUCGGCAAACACACCGCAAAAAAGUAUUACAUCUAAUAGAUCUCCAAGAACAUCGAGGAGAACUUUGUAUUGAGAAUCAAAGAGAGAGAAGAAGCCAUUUGGCUACUAGCUAUGGACCCGUAGGUCAGUGGUAAACUACCCACGCUUCAUCGGAGAGGCAAUGGUGUUGAUGUAGAAGCCCUCCGUGAUCGAAUCCCCCUCUGGCAGGAAGUCGGAAAAGGCCCCUAGAUGGGAUCUCACGGGUACAGAAGUUUGCGGCGGUGGAAAAGUGGUUUCAUGGCUCCCCUGGAAUGUUUUUGGGAUAUUUGAGAAUAUAUAGGCAGAAGAAAUAGGUCGGUGGAGUCACGCGGGGCCCACAAGGGUGGGGGCGCGCCCUCCGACCUUGUGGCCGCCUCGUGGCUUUCCUGACGUGCACUCCAAGCCCUCUGGAUGUCUUCUGGUCCAAGAAAAAUCAUCACGAAAGUUUCAUUCCGUUUGGACUCCGUUUGGUAUUCCUUUUCUGCGAAACUCUAAACCAAGGAAAAAACAGAAACUGGCACUGGGCUCUAGGUUAAUAGGUUAGUCCCAAAAAUCAUAUAAGAUAGCAUAUUAAUGCAUAUAAAACAUCCAAAACAGAUAAUAUAAUAGCAUGGAACAAUAAAAAAUUAUAUAUACGUUGGAGACGUAUCAGGCAUCCCCAAGCUUAAUUCCUGCUCGUCUUCGAGUAGGUAAAUGAUAAAAAUAGAAUUUUUGAUGUGGAAUGCUACCUAUCAUAUUUAUCCAUAUAAUUCUAUCUAUUGUGGCAUGAAUUCAGAUCUGUAAGAUUCAAAACAAAAGUUUAAUAUUGACAUAAAACAAUUAUACUUCAAGCAUACUAACAAAAUAAUUAUGUCUUCUCAAAAUAACAUGGCCAAAGAAAGCUUAUCCCUACAAAAUCAUAUAGUCUGGCUAUGCUCCAUCUUCAUCACACAAAAUAUUCAAAUCAUGCACAACCCUGAUGACAAGCCAAGCAAUUGUUUCAUACUUUUGACGUUCUCAAACUUUUUCAACUUUCACGCAAUACAUGAGCGUGAGCCAUGGACAUAGCAGUAUAGGUGGAGUAGACAGUGGUUGUGGAGAAGACAAAAAGAAGGAGAUAGUCUCACAUCAACUAGGCAUAUCAACAGGCUAUGGAGAUGCCCAUUAAUAGAUAUUAAUGUGAUUGAGUAGGGAUUGCCAUGCAACGGAUGCACUAGAGCUAUAAGUUUAUGAAAGCUCAAAAAGAAACUAAGUGGGUGUGCAUCCAACUUGCUUGCUCAUGAAGACCUAGGGCAUUUUGAGGAAGCCCAUCAUUGGAGUAUACAAGCCAAGUUCUAUAAUGAAAAAUUCCCACUAGUAUAUGAAAGUGACAAUAUAGGAGACUCUCUACCAUGAAGAUUAUGGUGCUACUUUGAAGCACAAGUGUGGCAAAAGGAUAGUAACAUUGUCCCUUCUCUCUUUUUCUCUCAUUUUUUUCCUUUUUUUCUUUUCUCUUUUUUUGGGCCUUCUCCUUUUUUUAUUUGGCCUUUCUCUUUUUUAUUUUUAUUUCCUCACAUGGGACAAUGCUCUAAUAAUGAAGAUCAUCACACUUCUAUUUACUUACAACUCAAAAAUUACAACUCGAUACUAGAACAAAAAUAUGACUCUAUGUGAAUGCCUUUGGCGGUGUACCGGGAUGUGCAAUGAAUCAAGAGCGACAUGUAUAAAAAAAUGAUGAACGGUGGCUUUGCCACAAAUACUAUGUCAACUACAUGAUCAUGCAUGGCAAUAUGACAAUGAUGGAGCGUGUCAUAAUAAACGGAACGGUGGAAAGUUGCAUGGAAAUAUAUCUCGGAAUGGCUAUGGAAAUGCCAGAAUAGGUAGGUAUGGUGGCUGUAUUGAGGAAGGUAUAUGGUGGGUUUAUGGCACCGGCGAAAGUUGCGCGGUACUAGAGAGGCUAGCAAUGGUGGAAGGGUGAGAGUGCGUAUAAUCCAUGGACUCAAUGAGGGAGUCCUGGAUUAGGGGGUCCUCGGACAGCCGGACUAUAUCCUUUGGCCGGACUGUUGGACUAUGAAGAUACAAGAUUGAAGACUUCGUCCCGUGUCCGGAUGGGACUCUCCUUGGCGUGGAAGGCAAGCUUGGCAAUUCGGAUAUGUAGAUCUCCUCCCUUGUAACCGACUCUGUGUAACCCUAGCCCCCUCCCGUGUCUAUCUAAACCGGAGGGUUUAGUUCGUAGGACAACAACAAUCAUAAUCAUAGGCUAGCUUCUAGGGUUUAGCCUCUACGAUCUCGUGGUAGAUCAACUCUUGUAAUACUCAUAUAAUCAAGAUCAAGCAAGCAGGAAGUAGGGUAUUACCUCCAUCGAGAGGGCCCGAACCUGGGUAAACAUUGUGUCCCCCGCCUCCUGUUACCAUCCGCCUUAGACACACAGUUCGGGACCCCCUACCCGAGAUCCGCCGGUUUUGACACCGACAUUGGUGCUUUCAUUGAGAGUUCCACUGUGCCGUCACCAUAAGGCUUGAUGGCUCCUUCGAUCAUCAACAACGAUGCGAUCCAGGGUGAGGUUUUUCUCCCCGGACAGAUCUUCGUGUUCGGCGGCUUCGUACUGCGGGCCAACUCGCUUGGCCAUCUAGAGCAGAUCGAGAGCUACGCCCCUGGUCGUCAGGUCGGGUUUGGAAACUUAAACUAUACUGCCCACAUCCGCAGAGACUUGAUCUUUGACGGAUUCGAGCCUAUGUCAGGUAUGAUGCACAGUCACGACGAGCAUGACCUAGCUCUGUCGUCGGACGGUGUUCGGGAGAUCACACCUGUGGCUACUCCGGCCCUCAAUCCGGAGCAGAUUGCGCCGUCUGAGGACGGGUGGAUGGACCCCGCCACGGAGGCCGCACACUCAGUGGCGAUAGAGCCGAAUACUGAUUUCACCUCCUAUGAGACCUGUGUUGCCGGAUCCUUGGAUUCGUCCCCGGCCACGGGCUCCAAACCGCCUGCGUCCGUACCUAUCGAAUCUGAUUGGGCGCCGAUCAUGGAGUUGUCCUCCGCGGAUAUCUUUCAGCACUCGCCCCUGGGCAACGUGCUAAAUUCAUUAAGGUCUCUCUCCUUGUCAGGAGACCCUUGGCCGAACUAUGUCGGGCUUGAGUGGGAAGCGGGCGACGAAGAAAUUCGUUCCCCACCCACCACCCACUUGAUAGCCACUGUCGACGACUUAACCGACAUGCUCGAUUUCGACUCCGAAGACAUCGACGGUAUGGACGACGAUGCAGGAGACGAACAGGAACCACCGACCACAUGACGGUGGACAACCACUUCAUCACACGAUAUAUAUAUGGUGGAUACACCCAAACAAAACAAUGACGAGGAACGGAAGGAUGCAUCGAAGGAUAGUUCCCUCGAGAAGCAACCAAAGCGACGACGUAGACGCCGCUCCAAAUGCCGCCUCGGCAAAAACAGCGACAACAGCGCAGGAAAAAAUAAUACCCCGGUCGACUCCAAAGGAAACGACGGCCACAUGGAUCCAGCGAUAGAGCAGGAUGAACCAGCGGACGGCGAACAUAGUACAGAGCCGCCGUUCGAUCACGGCGACGCCGAGGGAAAAGCUAAUCAACCUGUCUCUGGAGAGGAGAACAGUCCGGACGACGAUGCACACAUCAUCCCAGAAAGGCACUUGGAGCAAGAGAACCUCCAUAGAAGGCUUAUUGCCACCGCAAGGUGUCUACAGAAGCAGAAGCAAAGGCUUGAGGCCGCGAAAAAUACACUCAACAGUAGAUGGAACAAAGUGCUCGACACUGAAGAAAAGUACGGUGGCAGUCGCCGCAAAAAAAGCUAUGCAAAGCGCAAGCUGCUGCCUGAAUUCGACGACGAGGCUUUAGAGCCUAUACAGCCGAAAAAUAAAACGGCCGAUCAGCCGGAUCGACCACCCCGUGGCCGCAAUAGGGCGGCUAACGAUGUCGCGCAUAAGUCAGCACACGAUCUACGUGAGGACUUGCACAAAAAAUCCGGUAUGACCAGGUCCAUCUACGGAUCUAGGAAGCGAGCUCCGGCACAGAAGCAAAACCGAACACUACAACCGUCAGAAUGCCAUGACACAUCCAAAUACAGGGGUGCCGCGCACCCCCUAUGCUUCACCGAUGAGGUGCUGGAUCACGAAUUUCUAGAGGGAUGCAAACCCGUGAACAUAGAGGCAUACGACGGAACUACAGACCCUGGGGUCUGGAUUUUGGACUUUAUCCUUCAUAUCCACAUGGCUCGCGGAGAUGAUCUCCACGCCAUCAAAUACUUGCCCCUCAAGUUGAAGGGACCAGCUCGGCACUGGAUGAAGAGCCUCCCCGAAAACUCAAUUGGAAGUUGGGAGGAGCUUGAGGAUGCUUUCAGGGCUAAUUUUCAAGGGACCUAUGUCCGACCUCCGGAUGCAGACGAUUUAAGUCAUAUAAUUCAACAGCCCGGAGAGUCAGCCCGAAAGCUUUGGAACAGAUUCCUCACUAAGAAGAAGCAAAUUGUCGACUGCCCAGAUGCCGAAGCUUUAGCGGCUUUCUAACACAGUGUCCGGGACGAAUGGCUCACCAGACACUUCGGCGAGGAAAAACCGAGGACAAUGGCAGCCCUAACAAGUCUUAUGACCCGCUUUUGCGUGGGUGAAGACAGUUGGCUGGCCCGUAGCGGCACCAGCGACCCAGGCACAUCCGAAGUUAGGGAUGGCAAUGGAAAACCACGACGCAAUAAAGGUAAGUGUCGAAACAAUGAAGACAGCCCAGACAACACGGCGGUAAACGCCGGAUUCAGGGGCUCUCGACCCGGUCAACGGAAAAAGCCAUUCAAAGGCAGUAGAGAUGGACCGUCCAGCCUAAACAAGAUUCUAGACAGAUUAUGUCAGAUUCAUGGCACCUCCGACAAACCUGCAAAUCACACCAACAAAGAAUGCUGGGUCUUCAAGCAGGACGGCAAGCUAAACGCCGAACACAAGGGGAGGGAGACACCAAGUGAAGACGAGGGUGAGCCUCGCCAGCAAAACACUGGGGGACAGAAAAAAUUCCCACCAGAGGUCAAAAUAAUGAACAUGAUUCACAUAACGAAGAGGAGGAGCAAAUGCGCACUCCGAGACGUAUGCGCCAUGGAGCCCGUCGCCCCCAAGUUCAGCCCUUGGUCGGUUUGCCCGGUCACUUUCGAUCGCAGGGAUCACCCGACUAGUAUCCGACACGGAGGAUCGGCCGCCUUGGUGCUAGACCCAAUAAUUGACGGAUACCAUCUCACCCGAGUCCUUAUGGACGGCGGCAAUAGUCUUAAUCUGAUAUAUCAGGACACAGUCCGCAAAAUGGGGAUAGACCCGACAAGAAUUAACCAAAGCAAUACUACCUUUAAAGGAGUAAUACCAGGCCCAGAGGCCCGCUGUACGGGCUCUCUAGUACUAGAGGUUGUAUUCGGUUCUCCCGACAACUUCCGAAGUGAAAAGUUAACCUUCGACAUCGCUCCAUUCCGAAGCAGCUAUCAAGCACUACACGGAAGAACGGCCUUCGCUCAUUUUAACGCAGUACCGCAUUACACUUAUCUUAAGCUUAAGAUGCCCGAUCCACGUGGCAUCAUCAUAGUUAGCGGAAAUACAGAGCGUUCCUUACAUGCGGAAGAAUGUGUGGCGGCGUUAGCAGUCGACCACUGAACGACCUCUUCAACCAGAAUAAAUGAUCGGUCGUCAGGACCGCGGACACGGCUAGACGAGUCCGGCGCACCACUGGCUGUAACAACUCAGAUAAACCUGAGAUUGGGUCGACGGAUAUACCCCCAUAGGUGGUGCUGGGGGCUUCCCGCAUGUAAAAAGAACUACAGUUCGGCUUGACCUUAUUUAGGUUGAAUUUUAAUGGUUCAUUAAGAAUAACCAAUUUUUUUCGCACGAAGACUUUCACCUGGGUUUUUCUCUUUUGCAGAUGAUCAUCGUGCUACACCCUUCCAGGAUACGGCACAACGGAGACACAUGCGCAGACGUGUAGCAGGGCCCCGUUCAAAGGUUUCUUUUUAGAUUAAGACCCUGCGUAAACCUUUUUACUGUCUCUUGUUGCUUCACACCCUCCGGAUACUCAACACAACCGGGAGGGAUGAUGGCGUUAUUGACAUUUCAUCACGUCAGACUAAUGCACGUACCUGGAAAUUCGGGGUUUAUUAUGGAGGGCGUUACUUAGCCCAGCAUAUGUUGUAAAGUCCGAAUACCUUAGGGAGUGUUCGGCGUCGCGAGUUUGGCCUUAUAUGCAUCAGCUCCGAAUCAUGUCUUUGGUCAAUAGUUGGGUUUGCCCGGCUCCCGUGUUUUGCUACCUUACGUUCCGCUCUAUCGGCUAAGGUGGCACCGGGAGAACUACUGCGAUUGUGCCCUGGUUCAUCUGGAUGAGCACCUCAGUAGAGAAAGCCGAAAACUGAUUGUCAUGAUAAAGCGCGAGACUGGUCAACCACUCGAUGACUCAGCGGAAUCUUCGCGAUUCCUCCGCAUUAACGAAGGAACGGUUUCCCGUUCAUGUAUGUACGUGCACCGUAUUCGGAUAAGCGCAGAAGUACCAGGGGCUAUAUAGUAGCCCCACUGUCAAACUCCUAUGGCUAAGUGAAAGUGUUAAAGCAAUAUAGUCCGAUUGCCUUGUUCGCCACACUCUCACCUCCUUAAUGGACCAAGACGUUGGAUCAAGUGUGAAUACGCGCUUUUCCGAACACCCCCGCAUUAUAUGUGUGGGGGCUGAAGCCGACGACUGCAAACUUUCAGGUUAUAUACAUACAUAAACGGCCGCACAGGAGGCAUCAUAAUACUUUCAGGCAAAAGUAUAAACACAGCCUUUAUAAUCCAAAUAGCAUUGUUCUUACAAUUGGGAUACAUGUCACUCAAACAUGAUACUCUUCGAGCACUGAGCCUCUAUUAAACGAGCACCUUCUAGGACUUCUUCAAAAUAGUGCUCGGUCGAGACCUGGCCUACGGCCGGAUCCUGGGUUGCAAUAGCGGUGGCCUCCAUCCCUGCUCAGUAUGUCUUAACACGGGCAAGAGCCAUCCGCGCACCCUCUAUGCACGCCAACCUCUUUAUAGCGUCGAUAUGCGGCACAACACCAAGGAAUCGUUGCACUAAUCCAAAAUAACUAUUGGGCCUCGGUCCUUCCGGCCAAAGGUGAUCCACGACAGACCUCAUGGCAAGUCCAGACAAUCUAUGGAGUUCAGCCCACUCGGCCAUUUGUUCAUUUAACAGCAGCAGACGCGUUGGAGCACUGAACUGCGACCAGAACAACUUUUCCACUUCGUGAUCUUUUUGAUCCUUGAAAAACUCAGUUGCAUCAGCAGCACUCAUUGCCAAGUCCAAAUACGCGUCUGCAGCACUCCAUAACUGAUCCAGAGGGGCAUACUUCGGAUCUCCAAACUUCGACCGCAACAAAAAGGGCUUCCCAGCCGUGAUAUCUCCGACUUGACGAAGCUCCUCCUUCGCCGCUCUGAUUUUAGAGCGGGCUUCCUUGGCUGCUACCAUGGCUUUCUUCAGGUCCGCCGCUUUCGCCUGGCUUUCCUUUUCAAGAAGCUCAUACCGGUCGGCGGCAUCCUUCAGCUCAACAGCCAUCUUGGCUAUUUUAUCUUCGCUCUGGCGAUGAGUAGCCUGUUCGGCUUUUAACUCUUCGGCUGCCUUUAGGGCGGCCGCAUCGCUUCUCCUGGCUUGUUCCUUGGCUCGGGCAAGCUCCGCCGGAAGGGUCUCCACGGCGGCAGCUCCAUCUGCAGUCACAACAUAUUAUAGAUACUAGCAUCAUGCUCCUCUUAAUAUCCGUUGACCACCCAAAAAUACAUACCCUGUGCCUCGUCAAGCCGCUUGUUCACAAGCGUGAUGUCGGCAUCUGCCGCGUCAAGCUGCCUCCUCAGUUCGGCAAACUCAGCAGUCUGGCCAGCCACCGGACCCUCAGCCUCCUGCACACGAAAGCAGCAUGAUCAUUACCUGGGACUAUGAUCCUCUGUUUGCCGCCUUUGGACAGCAACCAGAGUCUCAGGGGCUACUAUCUGCAUAGGGCACACCUAGCGUGUGCGGUACCGUUAAAAAAUGUAUAUGUCACUUUGCGUACCUCAAAGCCUCUUAGCAGGCUCGUAAAAGCUUCAUGCAACCCACUUUCGGCGGAUGAAAUCCUCUCAACCACCGUACCCAUUAAAGUACGAUGCGCCUCUGAGAUAGCCGCUUGCUCCAGAAGACCCAUCAGUACGUCCGGUUGUGCACCGGGCAGUUCGGGACUCUUUCUGUUGCUCUCCUUAGGAGCCGAAUACUCUGGACUUCGGGUGGCCGAAGGGUUACCUUCCGGCCUUGGCGGAUCAGGAGAAAUCCUCCGUGACGACACCUCAGGGUCGUCCGCCCCAUGAGGCGGGGAGACAGGGGGAGGCGUUUCGCUGUCCAUCAUCUCCGGAAGAAGAUCCCCCGAAGACGAACUCUGUCGAGAAGGGCUACGAUCCGAACUGCAAGACAUACAUCUCGGUUAUUGUCCUCGGAGAUGAAGCAUGAUAUAUUUACCAAAAGUACUCUUGCUCACUUACAGCUCGGUGGAGGGCUGAUCCCCUUGCGGGCAUUGUGCGAUAAGAAAGCCCUCCGGGGCAGGGCCCCCUGGCGAAGGUUUCUUCCCUUGUUUGGAAACCCUUGUUUCCAAGUCUUCAGAGGCGGUCCUUUUCCUUCCUUGGGGAGAGGGAAUUUCAGAUUCUUCUCCCUGAUUAUCCUCCUUCGCGGAGACACUAAUUCUCCCUAUUUGGAUGAGUAAUGCGUGAGGCCCGCUUGCAGCUUCUUUAUUCCUCCCUUUAUCUUCCCCUGAUGGCGCUUGAUAAGGCGCGAGCUCAAGCAUCCUGGCUAGUACAGGAUCCGGCGAGCCUUCGGGAAGGGGGGCCGAACACCUGAUCAUCUUCGCUUUUUUUAUCCAGUCCUGGUCAAAGAGCGACUUUUCAGAAUGAUGUCGUGAUAAAUAAAAAGACAGCAUGUUCGGUCGCAGAAUUACUUACAUGGGUAUCUGGAUGAUUACAGUUUAGACUCGCAUCCUCGAUGGUGUCCGGACACUUUAUUCGUGAUCCGAAGAAUAAUCCAUACAUCCCUUCGAGCGUUACGCUGAAGAAUUGCUGAAUAGUUUGCGGCCUUCUGUGUUGAACUCCCACAUACGGAGAGGACGACGUUGGCAUGGCAGGACCCGACGAACUAGCAUGACUUGCAUUACCUUGACAAGGCUGACAUCUCUCUUGAGGAGAUCUCGGAUGCGACUCUGCAGUGUCGGCACGUCAUUAACCGGCCCCCAAUCCAGCCUCUUGUUGACCCAUGACGCCAGUUGUGGCGGGGGGCCCGAACGGAAGGUGGGGGCAGUUGUCCACUUAGUACUUCGGGGAGCCGUGAUGUAAAACCACUCUCGCUGCCAUAAGUUGGACAUCUCCGGGAAGGAACCCUUUGGCCAUGGAGCAUCGGCACCUUUGCUUAUUAUGGCACCUCCACAUUCUGCGUGUCGCCCAUCGAUCAUCUUCGGCUUCACAUUGAAGUUCUUGAGCCAUAAGCCGAAGUGUGGGGUGAUGCGGAGGAAGGCCUCACACACGACGAUGAACGACAAGAUGUGAAGGAUGGAAUCCGGAGCCAGAUCAUGAAAAUCGAGCCCGUAAUAAAACAUGAGCCCUCUAACAAAGGGAUCAAGACUAAAGCCUAGCCCUCGGAGGAAGUGGGAAACAAAUACGACACUCUCAUUGGGUUCGGGAGUGGGGAUGACCUGCCCUUGAGUAGGCAGCCUGUGCGAGAUUUCGGUGAUCAGAUACCUGGCUUCUCUUAGCUUCUUGAUGUCCUCCUCUGUGAUAGAGGAUGCCAUCUACCGGCCUUGAAGGUUGGAUCCGGACAUGAUUGAAGGUCCGAAAGCGCUUAGCCUGAGCCUUGGGUGUUGGAAUUCAAGGUGGGGGAAAGCAAGGAUCGAGCGCGAGAAGAAAAGGACAGGCCUUGGCCCCUGUGUAAGAGGGGUGAAUAUCAAGCGUCCUCCGCGUGGCCGUUUGGAACUUGCCUAAAAUCGAGGAGUCAUACCAGCAGGCACGAUUGGGUUACCCAUACCCGUAUUGAUGAGAAUACCAUGAUAAGGGGACACGAUCUCUGCUUCAAAAAGACGUGCCAAGAAAACCGCCUCGCAAUAUGUGCAGUAGCUGGUUGAGAAAAAUGGUUCGAAUAAUGACCGGACCAUGGCGUGAUGUCAUGUUAUGAAAAGUUGUCAGCAGCUUAGAUUUGUGGAAAUACUAUACUCUCUACGGUGGUAUGUGGAAUUUAUUUUGCAGAGCCGGACACGAUCCUCGUGUUCAAAAUCUUCUAUGGAGUAUUCGGAGGAAGAACCCGCCUUGCAAUGCCGAAGACAAUCUGCGCGCCGGACUCAUUGUCAUUGAAGCCUGGUUCAGGGGCUACUGAGGGAGUCCUGGAUUAGGGGGUCCUCGGACAGCCGGACUAUAUCCUUUGGCCGGACUGUUGGACUAUGAAGAUACAAGAUUGAAGACUUCGUCCCGUGUCCGGAUGGGACUCUCCUUGGCGUGGAAGGCAAGCUUGGAAAUUCGGAUAUGUAGAUCUCCUCCCUUGUAACCAACUCUGUGUAACCCUAGCCCCAUCCGGUGUCUAUAUAAAUUGGAGGGUUUAGUCCGUAGGACAAGAACAAUCAUAAUCAUAGGCUAGCUUCUAGGGUUUAGCCUCUAUGAUCUCGUGGUAGAUCAACUCUUGUAAUACUCAUAUCAUCAAGAUCAAUCAAGCAGGAAGUAGGGUAUUACCUCCAUCGAGAGGGCCCGAACCUGGGUAAACAUUGUGUCCCCCGCCUCCUGUUACCAUCCGCCUUAGACGCACAGUUCGGGACCCCCUACCCGAGAUCCGCCGGUUUUGACACCGACACUCAACGUUAGUCAUAAAGAACUCACAUACUUAUUGCAAAAAUUUGUAAGUCAUCGAAACUAAGUACUACACACAUGCUCCUAGGGGGAUAGAUUGGUAGGAAAAGACCAUCGCUUGUCCUUGACCGCCACACAUAGUGAAGACAAUCAAAAAAUAUCUCAGGCACCAACUUCGUUACAUAACAGUUCACCAUACAUGCAUGCUACGGGACUCACAAACCUUAACACAAGUAUUUCUCAAAUUCACAACUACUUACUAGCAUUACUCUAAUAUCACCAUCUUCAUAUCUCAAAACAAUCAUAAGGAAUCAAACUUCUCAUAGUAUUCAAUGCACUUUAUAUGAAAGUUUUUAUUAUAUCCCUCUUGGAUGUAUAUCAUAUUAGGACUAAUUUUAUAACCAAAGCAAAUUACCAUGCUGUUUUUAAAGACUCUCAAAAUAAUAUAAGUGAAGUACGAGAGUUCAACAAUUUCUAUAAAAUAAAACCACCACCAUGCUCUAAAAAGAUAUAAGUGAAGCACAAAAGCAAAAUUGCCUAGCUCAAAAGAUAUAAGUGAAGCACAUAGAGUAUUCUAAUAAAUCAUGAUUCAUGCGUGUCUCUCCCAAAAGGUGUGUGUAAGUGCAUCUAGUGCCCCUUAGUGAUUUUGGUGUAUUGAAGACUUAUAGGCUAAGGGACUAAUGCGUUUGUGAGUGUACACAGGUCUAUAAGUCUAUGAGGAGUUUGAUAUUUACAGAGAAAGUCAACCCCUAAAAAUGAAUGUCUUUAACUAAAGACUUUGGCUUUCUGAAGACUUUGAAAGUGAAGCAAUUGGUGUGACCGUGAAGACUUGAUAUUCAUGCGAGGAACAUGAAGCGUGAAGACUUUUGUUUUCGUAGUUUCAUUUUCUCUUUCUUGAGUCAUAGGAAACACCGUACUGUUAAAGGGGGUCGAGGAAAAACUAAGGAAAAGUUUCCAAGUGAUGCUCAUCUCAAAAUCCUACACCUACCAAUCCUUUCGAGUGAAGCCAUUGGAAAUCACAUACAGUUCAGUCAAUUUCUUUUGUGACAGAGACGAAGAUCUUCUGGUCUCUGAGGAAUUUGUUUCGACUGAGGAGUUAGGAAUUCGCCAGUGUGGAUUGCCUACAAGUGAGGAACAUGAUAGCCCUGAGGAAUUUGAAUCUCAAAUUUUCGACCGUUGCUGUGCUACGCGCCAGCUGUCCAGAAUAUCUAUCCACCUAACGGUCAUAUCAUUGAAGGGCAUUUAUGUCUUAUCAUGUCGGGCUGCUCCCUAGGCUAUAAAUAGCCGCCCCCUACAACCACUAGCUGGUUGGCUGCUCCGAAAGAAACUGACACUUGUCAUUGAGAGCAUUCCAUUCUUCGAGGACUUUGAGCGAAAAUCAUCAAGUGAGGAAAACCCAAACCCAAACCCAAACACCUACAAACCCAAGUGAUUGAUCAUCACUGAAGAGAUUGAUCCUGUGUGGAUCCGACGCUUGUUACCUUUGAAGAAUGUGCAUCUUCCAAACGGUUAGGCGUCAUGGUCUAGAGCAUCCAAGAGGAAAUUGUGGAUCGCCGAGUGACCGAGUUUGUGAAGGUUUGGAAGUCACCUGAAGACUUACCACGAGUGAUUGGGCGAGGUCUGUGUGACCUUAGCUCAAGGAGAAUACGGUGAGGACUGUGUGUCCGGGACUAUGUGUCCUCAGGUUUAAAUACCUAGCCGCUACAACCAGACGUACAAUUGUCACAACAGUUGGAACUGGUCUACCAAAUCACUGUCUUCAUCAAGCCUACUGGUUCUAUUUCCUCAACCCUUCCAUUUCCUCAUUACUGUGUUGUGUACUUGAUCGUUACUGUUUGAAGACUUUGACUGAAGACUUUUUCAAUUUCCUCAGUUCAAUUUCUUCAGUCAGUUUGUCUUCAGCCUGCUGAUCCUGUGUUUACGCUUUCGGUACUCUGUGCUUGUUUUCAUUUCAUCAUGAUGAUUGUGCUGUUGUUCUGUUAUGCUUGCAUCUGAGUACUUAUUCCUUUGGUAGUAGUUCUUCGCUUAGGAAUUUCCUCACCCUGAAAUUCCUCAGUGAAGAAUUGAUAAAAAUUGCCUAUUCACCCCCCUCUAGACGACUUAAUGCACUUUCAAUUGGUAUGAGAGCUUGGUACUCCCUUGUUCUGUGUGAUUUUGGUUUAACCGCCUGGAGUUUUAGUUAUGUCGACCGCAGGAAUGAAGACUGUGUCAUGCCCCAUCUUUGACGGUCAUGAUUAUCCCAAGUGGAAGGCCAUGAUGAAGAAGCGACUCAUGGCGAUGAACAACGAGCUGUGGACCGUCACUAAGAUUGGUCUUACCGAUCUGUGCAAGAUGGAGGAGGCUGAUGAUAUUCGCAAGUACACUCUUCUCAACCUCACGGCAAAGGACAUCAUCUGCUCCUGUGUGUCUCAAAAUCAGUUCAGGAACAUUAUGCAUCUCAGUCAUGCGAAGCUCAUCUGGGACCAACUCUCUGAGGUCUAUGAAGGUCAUGGAACUCAUCGUGAUCCCUGGUUUGAGGAUUUCAUGGUGUCGCGUAAGGCUAUGACUUUCGAGUCAGAAUCAUCAUCCUCUGCACCAUGCCUUAUGGCAAAAAGUGCCAAGGUAAUGAAUGCUACCUGUCUGAGUCUAGUGAUGAUGAAUCUGGUGAUGAAUUUGGACCCAGCUACACCAAACUUGUUUCCCUUGGCACUAAACAACAAAGAGCUUUGGAAAAAGUUCAAAAUAUGCUUGAUGAGAGCGAUGAUAUGUUGGGCGAAGAAAUGGAUCGCACCAAAACCUUGACUGAAAAUCUUCAGAGACUUCAGUCCAAGUUUGAUAACCUUCAGAGUCAUCAUAACACUCUCCUAUCUGAUCAUGAGAAGCUUUCUUAUGAAUUUCUUCAAAGAAAGCAAGAUCUUGAGAAGCUAAGGGUGAGUUAUGAAGAUCUUCAGAAGGAGCAUGAUUCAUUACUUGCUCAAUAAAUCAGUGCUGCUCAGGAAGAAUUCAUUCCUCCAUGUUUGAAGUGCAUUGAACGUGAAUCUGCUAAUUCUUCACCUAAAAGGUCAAACGCUUCUAUUGCUGCAAUUUCUUCACCUAUCUCUGCUAUCACUAAUUCCUCAUCUGAGGAUAUUGCUAGUAUCACUGACAAUGCAGGGCUGGAGGAAUUGUAUAUGACAGGCAUGUACAAAAGCCUCAAAGGGCAUCAGGCUCUUUGUGAUGUGCUUAAAAAGCAGAUCCUCAACAGGAACCCAAGGAAAGAGGGUAUUGUCUUUGAGAGGAAACUCAAUGCUGAUGGAACAUACUGGAAGCCUGAGCAGUACCCCAAAACCUCAUGGGUUGCUGCAAAGGGACCUCCAGUAGAUCCAUCUACUCUAUCUGGCUUUACAUGUGAAUCUCCUCAUUCUUCUGAUGAGUCAUUUGACUCCAUGUAGCGACCCGACCUCAGAUGGUCAAGUCUCUGUGCUUAAGUGUUAUCCCUGGAUCGGUAUGCUGACACACACACAGUACUCGAGGAUUUAUAGCAGAGGUAAGUCACAUGUAUAAAUAACGUAAAUACUAUUACCUCAAUCCAAAUAGCGGAAGUAACAACAAGGUUGUGGAUUCCCAUCAACACCAACGGCAAAGUUGAGUGUAGAAAUCGUAACCAUAACGUAUCACUUACUUGUCGUAAGAUCCUGCAACAUGAGACGUUGCAGCCACAAAGGGUCAGUACAUUGAAUGUACUGGCAAAUUCACACCAUAGGAUAAUCAUGAAUAAUAGCUAUCACUACAUGCAUAUUUGGCUGGUGGAGGCUCUAAGUUUAAUUUUGCAUAAAACUAUUUUUUCCCUACAACAAAGGAAUAUGUUUUAUUUAACUACAAAGUUUGUUGAAAAUAUUGAGAAGGUUCCUCCAACUCAAUCCCAAAUUAACAUUAAUAACCCAACAAAUUAUUAAUUAGAUAGAGUGAUGAGAUCAACAUAAUAAUUCAAAUACCAGACACUCAAGACGUCCAUAACCGGGGACACGGCUAACCAUGAUUAGUUUGUACACUCUGCAGAGGUUUGUGCACUUUUCCCCACAAGACUCGAUCUCCUCCGUUGAAUUUCUCGCACUACAUGAUGUUUGAGAAACAGAUGACCGAGACACAGUCUUUCCGAAGCAUUAACUCUUUACUCUGGGUAGAUAGUUACACCUACUUUCCCCUACAUCUACUAGCCUACCACUGAAAGAGGUCACACAACAUACUCAACUAUGCUAGAGCCCAUAACGGCUUGUGGCUGCACACAGAAGUUUCUAGCAUGAAUAAUCUUAUGAUCCCUUUGAGCCUGGGUGGCGAACCGUAGGAUGAUCACACGGGUACUCCGGGAUAUCCUAGGACAACACUGGAUUCUCCAGGUGCCCAGACAACCAAUCCACCCAGAUGUGUAUUAAAGUAGCCACCUUAAGUUAACCAUUAAUUAACAACUCUCACAUCUGUCAUGGAUCACUCAAAUGAAACCACGUCUAUGAGCAUAGCAUAGCAGUAUAAGCAUAACAUAGAAGUAACUCCCAUGGUUUGAUAUAAAGGGCAAUAGGUUCUACCUCAUCAUCUACUUCCCAAACCCACAUGUUAAACAAAUCCUACUCAUGCAAUGUUUGAGGGUUGAAACUAAUGCAUAAAAACUAGGUAAUAAAGGGGUAUGAUCAAAGUGUUACUUGCCUUGUACUAUUGAUGAAGAUGAUUCACACUCAUAACUCCUGAUAGUUCUACUCGUCACACUCCGUUCAAUCUAUCGUGAGCAAGCAAUAGUAACCACACAUAAGCAAUCAUGCAAAAGAAUCGAAGAAAAGAUCUCGGAAAACUUUGAAAACAAGCAAUUAACUCUUGCAACAUAAAACAAUUUCUAACAGCAACAAAAUUGGGUGCAUUUGGCCUUACCAAAAAGUUUAGGUCAAGAGCUUCGAUUUGCAAAAAGAAACAACUAAAUCAGAGUUAUAAAACUCAAGUUAUGAACAAAAGAAGUUUGAAUUCAAAUCUGGUUGAAACCAAAUUUUAAAUUUUCAAAAACAUGUUUAAGUUGGUCAUAUGGAUAGAGGGGAUCGUAACAAAGAAGUGGGCAUAGGUUUCGUUGGAUUUGGACAAGCGAGAAAAAAGUAACGAAGGUUUAAAAAACAGGGUCUAAUCUGUAAAGAAAAUAAUCACAGAUAGGUCCCUGGCCGAAAUUAAAAAGAAAAAGAAAAAUUCUACCGAACGAGCGUUCGCUACCGAAGGCUAACGAACGAAUCUAUCCACUGGUGAACCUAAACUGAUGAACGUUUGCUAAAUAAAAAUAAAAAAACAAAAACAGGUUUUAGAAGAAAAGCCGAAACCUAAAAAAAA